rnacentral:lncRNA from 1 species
AUGAACCAAAACGUGCUACAUAUCUGAAAGCAAACUUAUUUCUUUGCUUCCUUUCUAUAGCUUGUUAGAAGUGGCAUACGAGCUAAAUAUUUUAUGCAAGCUUCACAUAACUAACUCGUCUGAAAGUUCUCGAUGAUUAUUCUGACUAGUGUAUGCUGACUUUCAUGGCAUACAAAUUAGGGAGUGGGAGAUUUUGAUCUAUGUGAAAGUUUUUUGCGGAGUGCAUCUUUAACUAACAUAAGGUUCGAUAUGAUAGUAAAUGGUAAUUGGGUGAUGCAACAUGCUUGUUAUCGUAGUUGUUUGUAAUGAUAAUUCUGUAUAUAAUGCUAAUUCAGACCUAAAAUUACCAGAACUAUAUGUGACUAGAUUAUGAGAGUGUAAAUGACUAAAAAUGAGUAUUUGGGCUUAUAUUAUGGAUCAUUUGUUUUUUCUAAUUUUGAUACAUUUUAGAUCACAAAUCAUAAAUAUGGAUUAAGAAUUACUAAAGGCAUCAGUCGAUCCCAAUGACAUGUUUAUAUUUUGGAUGUUAUUCAUCUCUUUUGAUUAUAACUUCAGGAGAGAAGAAAAAGGAAAAGAAGGGGACAGAAGAGAAGGGAAAAGAUGUUAAGGCAAUGACAGAAUACAAGGAGAGAAUAUUAGACCAAUUUCUUGUCCUGUGUUUGAAACAAUAGGAAAGAAGAGAAAGGAUCAGUUGGAAUUCUCUCUCUUUCUCUCCAAAUCUCUCCACUUGAGAAUACAAAAUAAAAUGGGUCUAGAAAGUAGUUAGUAAUGAUUUAAAAAGCGCUAGGCACUAAGGUCACAAAAUGCCCAAGGCGCUUUGAAAUAUUAAAAUAAAAAAAUAUAAUAUAAAUGAUAAAUAUGAUUAUAUAAAUAAAAAAUAUGAUAUUAAACUACUGUUAACAGUAGUUAGAGGGGGAGAAAAGAACUAUUAAGAGGAGGGGUGAAAAAGUCACAAAUAGUGGAACUUUCGGAGGACGACAGUGGCGGUGGUGGAGGAAGCUGUGGACGGCAGCAGUGGCAACCGCGGAAGCUGCAGACGACAGCAGCCACAGCGAAAGUUGCGGUGGUGGAGGAAGUUGCGGUCCUCUCCCUCGACAGUAGAAGGAGUUGCACAUGGAAGCAACGACGGCAGAAGGAAGCUGUGGACAAAGGCUAGGCCGUUGGACCUGUCCAUUGACAAUAGAGGAAGCCUCGGUCCUCUGUGUCUGCGGCGGAGGCUGCAGAAAGCGUUGGCGACGGAGGCAGAAGUUGCACUAGGGCUGAUGGCUCGAGGUCGCAUGGGGGAGCGGGGGGUGGCUUUUGUGGGUAAGAAAGUGGCUAGUUGGUUCAAUGGGGGGUGGCUUUUGUGGGUAAGAAAGUGGCUAGUUGGUUCAAUUGAACCAACUAGCCAUUGUUGAACCGAACCAGACUUAAAAGUCUGGUUCGGUUGCUUCAUUUGAACUGGGCGCUUGCCCGCGGUGACAAAGAAAUUGAAGUUUUGAUGUUCUGCAGUGCUUCAUAUGGUUUGUCAUGUCCAAUUACAUUGAUAAGUGUUCUUUGUUUGUUGACAUUUGACUUGGAUAAAUAUACUCCACAUUACAAAUUUCACAUUUUUAUUUGUGAUGUGAAUUGUGAUUUAAUAAUCAUAUUUUGGUCAUCUAGUAGCACGUAGGUUGCUUUGUAUCUGAUCAUUGUAAUUUUUGUUAUAUACGUAAUGCAGGUCUUGGAUUUUGAUUUUGAGAAGUUCUGUUCCAUCUCUCUCUCAAACUUAAAUGUUUAUGCGUGCUUGGUUUGUGGAAAGUACUACCAAGGAAGAGGUCUGAAUUCUCAUGCACAUACACAUAGCCUUGAAGCAGGUCACCAUGUAUAUAUUAAUCUUCAAACGGAGAAAGUUUAUUGCCUUCCUGAUGGAUAUGAGAUAGAUGAUCCAUCAUUAGAUGAUAUUCGGCAUGUUCUAAAUCCUAGGUAUGUGUACUGUUACAUACAACUCUUGCUUCUUUGCUUCUAGAUGUUAUAGUAUGGAUUCAGCAGGGAUUUAUGCUUUGAUCCAGUAGAAUUUUGAAACCUGCCCCCUCUUGUUUUAAGAAACUUGAAUAUUUUGAUACCCUUUUCUAGGAUCCAAAGGGCUGUCAGCAAUGGUUAUAACAUUUUCCCUGUAUUGGUAUUGACUCUGACUUGAUUCAUGUUACAGUCAACUAAAUUGCUGUUUAAUUGGAUUCCAAGACCUACUCAUAUAAAGACAUUAGUGUAACAGUUCGCUCUACCUUUUGAUUGAACCUAUAUACCAACUCAAAAAUGAAAACAUAUUGUAUCUGGCUCUUGCUACUAGUACACCAACCCCCAAUUUUUCCAGAGAAAGUGGAUCAAUGAGGAGCAAUAUUGCCAUAACAGAAGCCUUAGAUGAUCUCAUGGAUGAUUUUGGGAUUAAUUUGAGUUUUAUUAUUGUGUCAAUUUUUGUCUUUUUUCUAUAUCAGAUGUUAAGGAAAUUUUCUUGUACUCAGGCCAACUUUGUACGGUUUUUUCAUUCAGGUUUUCAAGAGAACAAGUUCUGCACCUUGAUGAAAACAGGCAAUGGUCGAGAGCACUGGAUGGGUCCAACUAUCUACCUGGAAUGGUAAGUUCCACCUGCAUACAUACAGCAUUUUAAGACCAUGUUGUAUCAUUAAUAUGGUUAGGUUUUGGAAAGAGACGACAGCUUGUAGUUCUGUCUGUAAUUGAAUUGAAUGAAUGCAGUUAAAAAGAGGGUUUGUUGGUAUGCAUUUUUCUAGUAUGUAUGUCUGCAUAAGGGAUGCAAAGUUGCUUGGGUUCUAGAAUCUUUAAUGAUCAUCACUAUGUAUUCAUUGUUAACACUUUGUUUAGAUGGAAUCCUUUGGUAGCUCUACAAGACAAUCUGCUUAGUUAUCUAAUUGUUUGCUGCAUAUAGUACAAAAUGCAACAAAAGCUGUAUGUUCCUUGUUUAAGGCUUAUAUCCCUGAAAGCAAGUGCCAUGAUAUAAGUUCUUAUGCUGUUACAACUAUAUUUUGCUAUUGGCACUUUCUUCAGAAUUAGUACAUCAGCUAUGAUCAUCGAUUUCAUGUAUUGAUCAGUUUUUUCCUUGUUUUUAGGUGGGUCUCAACAAUAUUAAGGAGACUGAUUUUGUAAAUGUCACAAUUCAGUCUUUAAUGAGAGUGACUCCUCUGAGGAACUUUUUCCUGAUCCCUGAAAAUUAUCAGCACAGUAAAUCUCCACUUGUUCAUCGGUUUGGAGAACUUACACGAAAAAUUUGGCAUGCAAGGAACUUUAAGGGACAGGUCGAUUCAUCUUUUUCUGUAUGUUGCUAUUUUCAUUUGUGGCAAUGCUCCUCAUUGAUUAUUCCAUUUCAGGUCAGCCCCCAUGAGUUUCUACAGGCUGUUAUGAAAGCUAGUAACAAGCGGUUCCAAAUUGGUGUUCAGUCAGAUCCUGUUGAAUUUAUAUCCUGGCUGUUAAACACAUUGCAUGCACAACUUAGACAUUCAAAGAAAAAGGAUCGAAGCAUAAUUUAUGACUGCUUUCAGGUUUUUCCUCACAUAAAUCAUUUGUUUGUGUUUUUCCUUUGCUAUCUGCAAUGCUGAUUAUUCUGGAAUGCAGGGUGAAUUGGAGGUUGUGAAAGAGAUCCAGAAGAAACAUCUUAUCGAGAAGAAUGAUAAUGAUGAUGAGGAGAACAAGGUAAUUGUUGCAGAGCGUGGGUCAUCAAAUGACAGUGUUGUGAGGGAAACAUCUAAAGUGCCAUUUCUAAUGCUUGGUCUUGACUUGCCACCACCUCCCCUUUUUAAGGAUGCAAUGGAGAAAAACAUUAUACCUCAGGUAUUUAUUUAAAUGCCUCUGCUUGUAUUUGUCUUGAGUCUUAUAUAAAGACAUUCACGGUCUAGAUUGCCACUUACUGCUAAUCGAAUGCAAUUCUUCUGAACCUUACAGAAUCUCAUUCAUUCUUUUGAAUGUUGAAGUGAUAUUUUAGAUUCUUUUAUAGUAUCCUGUUCUUUUCUUUUGAGCGAAAAAGGAAAUACUUUUAGAGGGUUAUCAUAGGAAUAUCUUCUAAAAGAUAUGCUGUCCUGAUUGACUCUAAUAUUAGUUGAAUCUUCUCAGUGUGCUAUAUGUUCUUUCGACUAUACCAAUGUCCAGCAAAACUGUUUAUAUAUUAGAAAAGCUAAGGGGUUUGACUGCCACAUUAGUUAUGUCUGAGAAGGUCCAAUAUAGAGAUGAGCAAAUCAUAUCACAUAAUCAUUAGGUUUGCAGCACCCAUAACAUGCAGAAAUUCAAUGGGAAGAUGUUAAUAUGAUAUUCUAAUGCUAGUGCAUAAUAGGUUUUGCAGUUCUGUUGCUAGUAAUUUCUGAACAAAGCACAAUUAUUUCCCUCUUUUGUGUAACACAGUUGGCACUUUUAUUCUGAUAGUUCUUGGCCAUAAGUUUUGAAAUUGUUGAUUUAGUUUAUUGAGUAAUUCAUUUUGAAUUUGCUUCUGAAAUCUUCUGAAAUGUAAUUGUUAGUGGAAUUAACUGAUGGCAUGUCAAAUUUGGUGAUGAGUUUACUUAGGUACAAACAGAAGAUUGUUUGUUUAAUUGUGAUGGUUGGAGUAGAUGUUAUCGGAGUUCCUUUUCUUUUGGAUUGUCUUGGAUAGGCUAUUCUCUUUAUUUUGGUUCAGUUUCUAGGGGCCUAAUUGGAGUAAAUUAUAAUAAGCUAAUAGCUGUUAUUCCUAAAGGGUAUUUGGUAGAGUGGGUCUUUUUGGUCUCAGGAAAAAGCCAUUUAUUUUGUGGACGAAAGCAAGGAAAUUUGAAUUGUUUCAUGAUUACCCUGGCUCGAAUGUCUGAUCUGUUCAUAAAGCUUAGUUUUUCCUUUCCGGAUCAGCAAGUUCAGACCGUAUACUUUUUGUUAGUUUCCUAGUUAGUUUCCUGUUACAGGAUGAAUGGAGGAAACCUAUUCUGCUAUUGCUUUGUGUAGGUUCCCCUCUUCAACAUAUUGAAGAAGUUUGAUGGUGAGACCGUAACAGAGGUUGUGCGGCCUUGCAUAGCAAGGAUGAGAUAUCGUGUCACCAGACUGCCAAAGUAUCUUAUUCUUCACAUGCGUCGAUUUACAAAAAACAACUUCUUCAUAGAAAAGAACCCUACUCUUGGUAUACUAUGUCUCUUUUUGUAUAUGAGAUGUUCUAUAUUUUUAGUCAUUAUUUGUUUGUUGAUACUCUCCUCUUUCAGUGAACUUUCCUGUGAAGAAUCUUGAAUUGAAGGAUUAUAUUCCAUUACCACCACCAAAGGUCAAGAAGAAGUUAAGGUCAAAAUACGAUCUUAUUGCAAAUAUAGUUCAUGAUGGCAAGCCAGGAGAAGGAUGUUACAGAGUUUUUGUGCAGCGUAAAUCGGAAGAACUCUGGUACGUUUGUUAUUGAAGUUAAGUGUUUCAGUGUUGUCUGUAUGCAUGCUGACCACUGUGUUCCUUUUGGUAUUGUUGCCUGUGUGCACGCCGACCAUUGUGUUCCUUCAGGUUUGAGAUGCAGGACCUCCAUGUCAACGAAACUCUUCCUCAAAUGGUUGCUCUAUCUGAGGCUUACAUGCAAAUAUAUGAGCAGCAAGAGUGACUACAGAGUCAAUUUUUUGUUUGGUCUUGAGAUAGGCUGGAAAGUUAGCACGAGAAGCUCCUAAACUCUCGCAUUAUGAAUGACAUGAUCGACUGGCCUAUCUGUUUAUUCAGCAGAAGCUUUGUACCCAUUUGUGGCUGGCACUCGGGCCAAGAAGAAUGUGCUGAUCAUGUUCUAGUGGACCUUUUUGCCUGGUUCAACUCAUGCUUCUGGCGGCUGAGAGCAAACUGCUGCAUGGUGAUAGCUGUUCUUAAGAGGAUGAUCGAUAUUUUAGAACUUUUUUGUGUUUAUUGUCCGCCAAAAUGGUAAAUGAAAACUAUAUUUCGAUGAUGCAGGCAAAAUUGUUUCAAAAGAGUAAUCAGCAGCCUCAUUAGAAUGGAAGCAAAAAGAAUUCAUAGUCUGUAAAAGUGGUGAAUGAGAGAGCCUUGCUAAAGCCCAGACGUUGUAUGUCUCAACUGAUUUCUGUCGUCAAUUUCUUCUAUGAUAAUGGAAAAUAUUUCCAACUUCCUCCAGAAGUACUCUUAUUUUUGGUCGGUGGAUUGGACAUGUAGUUGGAUUUGCAAUCAAGCAAACAAGCAAUAGGGUAAUAAGGGGCAUAAGAAUUCAUGACCUGAUUCAGUCUACAGCAUAUUACACGUAUUUGGUUGGAUGUUUCCAAAUAAAAUGACAUGUACCAACGCGUCCUCUACCCAAAAAUACUCAAUUCAGAUACAAAGGUGUCUUAAGAUAACAACCUGCAUAGGCAGUGCAAGUCACAUUAUUGAGCAGCAAAACAAAGAAUCGUCCAUCACAAAAUAGUGAGAAAUUUAGAGAGGCUUCUCUGCAGACCCGGGGAUUGGAACUUCACUAUACUCUUUUUGGGAGGUCCCAUUUCAAUGCUUUGUAAACCUCUGUAAAACAUCGAAAUAGUCGGGGAAUGUCUUCCUAGUGCAACCUGGGUCUUUGAUUGUGACAGGAACAUCGGCACAAGCAGCUAUCGAGAAUGCCAUUGCCAUCCUAUGAUCAUCGUACGUGUCAAUCGCUGUUAUAUUCAACUUUUCUGGGGGCGUAAUGAUACAAAAGUCGGGGCCUUCCUCCACCGUUGCUCCAAGCUAGUUCAUCACAUACAGAGCAAGAAGAAUUGUCAGGAAAUGAAACAAGAUGACUGAGUUACACAAAAGAUCAAACUUUACCAACCUUUCUAAGUUCUGUACAAAUGGCUACCAUCCUUUCAGUCUCCUUAACUCUCCAUGAAGCCACUGAAACCAGAAAAUAAGGGUGAAUUGAAAGAGAAUAUACAGCAGUAUAUUCUGCCAGACACCACCGCAUAGACUACUACAUUUAGUUCUUCCUGUCGAAAGAGAAUAUACAGCAAAAACUGAAACUAACCAUCUCUUAUGGCUGUAGGGCCAUCAGCAAAUAGUGCGACAACAGCAAGGGUCAUGGCAACAUCAGGCAUCUUAUUCAUAUUGACAUCAAUUCCAUGCAAAUGUCCCUUCUUGGAAGGAUCCCGUGGUGGACCAGUAACAGUCACACUAUUUUCAGUCCAUGAAACUUUUGCUCCCAUUUUCUCAAGAACUUCAGCAAAUUUCACAUCUCCCUGCAUUUAGGGUAAAAGGAAAAGAUGGGCAAAUAAAUAAAUAAAUAAAACAAAAGCUACGUGCUUCAAGAUCAUGAAAUUUUGCGGAGCAAGAAUCACCUGUAGACUGCUUGUACCACAACCUUCCACAGUGACAGUGCCACCAGUGACUGCAGCGCCUGCUAAGAAAUAACUAGCACUUGAUGCGUCACCUUCGACAUAUGCAUUUCCAGGAGACCUAUGGAACAGAAGUAUACCAAAAAAUGUAAUCUUUAUAAAUUUAGCAAGUAGUAUUACCAUCAUCAAUAUUGCAAUCGAAAACUUACUUGUAUUUUUGAGCACCCUUGAUAUAGAAUCUAUCCCAAUUAUCAGAAUGCUCAACCUUAACUCCAAAACGUUCCAUCAAUUUCAAAGUCAUUUCUACAUAUGGAAUGGAGAUAAGCUUAUCAAUGAUCUCAAUCUCCACAUCCCCAAGAGCCAAGGGAGCUGCCAUGAGCAAAGCAGUCAAGUACUGGCUGCUAAUGGAUCCAGAAAGUUUCACCUGAACAAAGUGAUGCAUAAACAAAAAGAAAAGAAAAGUCAAUAUCAGCAAAGUAAAUAUGUGAAUCCAAAGUAUAUAAACAUAAUCCAGAAACAUAUAGGCUAAGUUGUGUGUCCCAAAGCAAAAGAAAAAGAUCCAAACCAAUAUUAUUGCACAGAUAAAGAUUCGGUAGACUCAUUCUUGGUCCUCAAAUAGAAUGUCAUAAGAGAUGUAUGCAUCCUUGUAUUGCACCAAAUGAUUUCAAGUCACAGUGGCCCAUAAAAUCAAAUUGAUACUAAUAAAACUUAAGCAAGCUAAUAUUGAUUAGACAUAAUAAAUAAUUGAUCAUUAAGAUCUUCCCCAUUCCACCCAAAUAUAACCUUGUUAACUAGCAGAGGUAACCAUAAUAAAGCACAAUCAUAAUAAAGUUGGCCUGUAUAGAUCCUCAUUGGCUGUGUUAUCAUAGUGAACAUUCCUCUUAUAACACCUAUGCUUUUCCCUGUUACACAUGUUCAGACUUUGCUUAAUUUACAGAUUGCUUGGAUAAAGAAUAAGCUCUUACCUCCAACCUUUUCUCUGCUUCUAUUUUCAUGAGGAAGCACAAGCUCUUAGUGUAGAACUAGUAAGUCAAAAGCAAAUAAUUCUUCACCAUUUCAGGUGGAUUAACCAGAUUUUGGUAUAAAGAAAAAAAGAUAUACAAUGACUGAUACACUCAACGAUUUCUUGAGUGUGCUAUUAGCACCAAGUACUUGAAGUAUGUUUACUCCAUUUAGAAAAAAAAAAAAAAAGAGUAUUAGCAAGAUGUAACAUCCUUUGUCAUUUUCUUACAAAGCAAAAUUAACUACGCACUGGCUCCUGAACAAGCAAUUAUUCUACUCGGCCAAAGGUUAUGAUGCUUAUGUAAUUGAGGAAGAAGACAAAAGAAAAGGUGAUACAUAUUAGAAUCCCAAACUAGUAACAGGAUAAAAGGUAGUAAAGAGAGACUAACCUUUCCCCCUGGAAGACCACCCAUUGCAUUUACACGAACAGGAGGGCAAUUGGUGCCCAUGAAACAAUCAACAUCUGCACCAAGCUGUUUCAGACCAGCAACCAAAUCUCCUAUAGGUCUUUCCCUCAUUCUUGGGACCCCAUCAAGUACGUAGCUGAAACAUCAAACGAUAAAAGUUUAAAAUACAGUAUAAUUAAAUGUACCAAGAUGAAGACACCUAAUUCAGACAGUAAAUAAUAGUAAACCUUGCAUUUCCACCAGCGGCUGUGACAGCUGCUGUCAGUGGCCGCAUUGCAGUCCCUGCAUUUCCCAAGAAGAGCUCAACUUCUUGUUUAGAAUCUUUACCCACCGGGAAUUGGCCACCGCAUCCUACAACUGUUGCUCUCUUAGUUGCAACAUCAUCUUCCACCGAAAGGCCAAGGGUUCUCAAAGCAGCAAGCAUAUAGCGAACAUCAUCACUGUUCAACAAGUUGUCCACCACGGUGGUACCCUGAAAAAGGUUUAUGGUGGAUCAUAAAAUAAGGAAAAGGAAAGAAGAGGGAGAUUCGAUGGAUUUAACCUCGAUAUCCACCUAAUAAAAUUUGAACUCUUUCAUAUCCAUUUAGAUCUAUAUAUGCAUGGUAUUUUUUGUUCAUCGUGGAAAUUAAGCUAAUUAUCUGGAUCCAUCAGAGAAUCAAGUAAUCAUUCCAACCGCGAAAGCUUUCAUCAAAGAGAGCACUCAAAAAUCAUUUUUCCCCGCAAAUUCACCAAAGAGGCACAUCCCACCACGCCAAACCCGCAAAAGUUUCAAUCUUUCGACGAAGCACCUCACCUCGGAAAGGGCAGCAAGGAGGAGGAUCCGAUUCGACAAGGACUUGGAUCCGGGGAGCUUAACCGUACCGGAGAUCUCCUUAAUGGGCUGCAACACGAUCUCCGGCGCCGCCGAUGGUUUCUCGGCAGCCACGGCGACAGAGGCCGAGACCCUAAGAGGCGAUGCGCGCCUCCCGCAGCCUCGCGCUCUCAAGCCACCGAAAGGCCCGGGCCUGGCCACUGAUCCAAGAGGAAGGGAGUAAGGAACAGGCGUCGGCCUCCGAGCUCCGCCGAUAUGAGCAGGCGUCAGCGCAGGAUUCACCUCCAAUCCCUUUGACAUGAUCGCCUGCGCCAUCUCUCUUCUCUCUCUCUCUCUCUCUGCGCUCCGGUUGCUCUGGAAGAACGAGGGGAAUUGGGAUGGGAUUUAAAGUAGCAAAACCAGCAACCCUUCCACGAGGCUGCGUCACGUAGCAACGAAAGUUACGACUUAAGGUACGAAGGACGCCGUGGGUGCACGUCAGGGUAUUAGCCUCUGGAUGCGAGCCACGUCAAGGUGCGUAUCUUAAGUCGGGUGUUCCCGCACCACGAAACUCCCACCAACCCCGCCCCCGUCUCCGAUGAUACUACGAGAGCACCGCCACCAACCCCUUCAGAAGCGGUGCGCUGCUCCGCCCGAAUUCAUCUGACCCCGACCCCAGCUGGCGUGGCAGGAGACUAUUCGUUAUUCUCUGUGGGGUCCGCGUGGGAUGUGGUGGGUUGGUGAAUCGAGUGGUGACGAGCGACCAGCGAUCGCGAGGAAGGCGCAGCAAGUCUGCAUGCUGCCGACUCACCUAACCCAACUCAGUUUGGUGGUGGAAAGGAACCUUGAAUUCUCUUACAUUUUUCACACACACACACACACAUAUAUAUAUAUNNNNNNNNNNNNNNNNNNNNCACUUCAAAACUCAUCACUUUAUAAAUAUAUCAUCACAAGAAAUUUCCAUGAUCAUGGCUGGGUUGUGAAUUAACAGUCUCUAAUCGAUCCACCAACAUCAGUGCCAGAUGGCUUGAAUCUACUGGUAUCACAUCCUUUGCCAAUAAUUUCUCGGGGGCAGCGAAUGGGGCGGGUUUUGUUGUGGCCAGCAUGCAUGCAUGCAUGCACAUGUUAAAUAUGGCCGCUAUAUGACAAAUUAGCCAGCUGAAGUAUGACCACGCGAAUCAUAUGGCACGUCGUCACAGGUGAGGAUGGAUUGAGAAUUACCCAUCGGUGCAUAAAAUGGUGUCACACAUGAGAUUAUGGAUUAGUCAUUGCCCCAUGGUGGUCACUUGACUUCAUUUGCUUUGCUUGGAUAAGUAGUACAAGAGGAUUCCCCUGCAACAACUCAAUACACGUUUUUUGCGUGUAUAUUUUGUCCCUUCCUAUAGCAUGCUUCGCUUCAAGGAGUAUAGUGUUUAUAAAUACAGAUAUUUUGUCCAUUCCUGUAGCAUGUUUCCACUGAUCUCUAAUUCUAACUUAUGCUGUAAUCAGUUUAAAUGUUAAACCCAAACGACAUUUUAACUAUAAAAUAUAUUGAAAGAAAGAAUCAUCGAAAAUGUCCUUUGGGUUUAACAUUUAAAACUGCAAAUCCUUGGUUUUAAUAGAUCUAAGCACCAUAUAUAGCUGGGAAAAAUCAGCCCGAAACUUUCACGAUCGACAUCAGGUUAUACCAUAUAUAGCACACUUGCAAGAGAACCACAUCAACCCUGAAAACUUUCAGAGGUGAGACACCCCAGCUAUGCAGUGUAACUCAAAAUGGGCAGCAAAUAGUCAUACUUGAUCAAGGAACAAUAUCCAAAGUUGAAAUGGUUCAAUUUUGGUCGCUUGUUAGAUUAGUAGAAGAUGCAAAUAGGACAGCCAGUCUUAAAAACUAAGUAGCCCCAACAUUAUUGAUGAGCAAUAGAACAACAAUGCCAAGUGUGAUUAUGAGUACCAUUUCGGGAAUUUUUUUUUUUUGCACAUCCAGUUCCAGUAUGUACUGUUGCAAGCAUCUCUAACGAUGCAGCAUCUGAACAAACAUCAGGAACGAAGCAAAGUGUAGCAGUUUGGAAGCAACAAACAUCUCAAUCUAACCAGAUGCCCCUGCAGAUUCAGUGGCUUCAGCUUCCUUCUGAGUUUCCAGGGCCGUGACACGCCUGUUUAGAGCUUCAUAACGUUCAUCAAGAGUUCCAUAGAUUCCAUUCACCUGGAAAAAGCAAGCAUCCACACUCAGUGCUAAAAUAAAUAAUUUAUUAGGCCAUCUAAAGAACAAGGCAAAAUUGAGAAUGCACUGAAGCAAAAGCUUCCAAACAUUGAUGCCACAUUAGCAUUUUCAUACUAUAGCAAUUGAAACUAAUUUGAUACCCAAAAGAGACCCGAUAAGACAUUUAGAAUUUCUAUCAAAUCAUAUAACAAUAUUCAUGGAAAGAAUGAACUGUAUAGUAGAUUAUUUGACAUUAUUGAAUAUUCAUAUACAAAACACCAGCAGCUGUAGAAACCACCAUUAGAAUUCCUGUACAGGUUUAGAAAACUCGAGAUAAUCCCAAACAUCUAUAAAUAAGGAUCAACACCAGUAACAGAAAACGUCUCUUAAGGUAAUCCAUUCUCAUCAAUCAUCAACCAGCCUAUGCUUAAAUGAGAAAGGUACAAAAAGAACAAGGUUUCAUCCUUCUAUCUUGAGAGAAGGGCUUCAACUUGCACUUACAUCGUUCUCAGAGCCUAAAAGAUUUAAUUGAGUUACACUUGCCUCAUCCAACUUAGGGAUCUCUCCAAAAUAUUUUGAGAAACUCGAGCCUUAUUUGCUGCUUCAUCUGUUCUCCACCUCCUCCCUCAUGCUAUUUCAUUCAAGUGAGUUUCCUAAGCUUGAUUUUCAUCCAUCAUCCUUUUUGGUGAGCCAUUAAUAAAUGAAUCCUCCUAAAAGACAAAAAUAAUAGACUACCUCGAGGAGGUGGAGGAACCUACAAGCGGAUGCAGACCAUUUUGCUAAACCAUUACAUAUAUUGUCUUCUUCUUGAUCUUUGUGUUUGUUCUUUUACUUGUGCUCUUAUUGGGCUUUUGGAAAUUUUGUUAUCCACACAUUAUUUUCAGUAAGCUUAGUGCCUAAAUGAUUCAACAAGAACUUUAGCUAUUCAAAACAAGAUUUAACAUCAUAUUACCUUAAAAACUCUUGUUGCUGUCUUUGAUGCCUUGGUGAAAGUACAAAGAAAAUGGGCGAUUUAGUUACAAUUUUUAUAGUGUCUUUUAGGAUUAUGUACAUAAAUAUAUUGGUCACCAAACCAUCUAUUUAUUUUAAAUAUGUUCAAACCAAGAAUGAAGUGUACAAAAGGAUGAUGUGGUUGGUAGGACUAAGAAUGCUCUGAAAUAUAACAGGUAUAAGGAUGCAUAAUAACAAAUGGAGACUACAGCGCUAAGUAGAAGGCAAAAUAUCAAUAUCGUACACAUCAUAUCAGAUUUUUCUAUCAACCCGAUUUUAUGAUUCUGCUUAUGUUAUUUUUCAUGCUCUAGGAGAUAUAGCACAUAAAGACCUAGUGAAGAUAAGUAUAUGGUGCUGGAACACUAAAUGUGUUGAACAAGAUAGCAUCAGAUUCUGAUGAAUGAAGUGCUUGCUUAAGUGUUUUGUUAAAUUCAAUGCAUCAAGGCUCUUUUGCUGCAGUCACUGCAUUCAUUGACUUAGCAACAAUGGAUGUUAUAUAAUGGACAACUUUUGGAUCUGAAAAUCUGAAACUCACAGAAGAUGCACAAACCAUUUUGGAUCAUCCAGCCACUACAUCAUCUUCUAAAGGAAUUGGACCGCUGACUCUCAUAUCCACCAGACUAACAUAAACAGAUUAGCUUUUCAAUUUAUUUUUCAGAUGCAUUUGUGUGAUGCAACUUUUUAAUGUCAAAAAUAUAGGUUGAGCUCAUCAUGAGCUUAUAAGCCGUGCUCAUCCAAUCAAAUAUUUGUCUGUUGUCAAGGUCUGAAAAGAAAAUCCACAAAGAAGGACCAUUUAGGGAAUAAAACAAGGACACACAGGACAGUGCUAUGGAUAUUUCUCAUACGAGACCAAAGAAAAUGUAAUGUUCGUCAUUUGAUAAUGAUGGCUUUGAUAAUGCAGUCGUCAAGAUGUAAGCAACAACACAAAUGUCCAUAUGAUUCAUGAUUUGCUUCCCAAAGUACCACUAAUCCAUCUAAAGCAAUGCCUCCUGUUAGAUUUCAACUUCAUUCAACUUGAAGCACCAUCAUCUUUUAAAGAUGGAAAAGAAGACAAGUGUGGCUUCAUCUUCUAAAACAUUUUGCUGCAGUAAUUCUCCUAAGAUCUUUUUGAGGAGUCAUUAUUUCUAUGGAGCAUUUGCAACUAUACAUAAAUUUGUUUUUUAUGUCAUGAGAACUGAGAUUUCGAUAAUUCUGACAGCAUUGAAGUAGUUUGAUAGAAUCAGGUAACUACAUAACUCUGAAUAAACAAAUUUAUUACAUUCCCUCAAACAAACCUUUUCAUUUAGUUCCUUUUUCAAAGGGACUAUCUGCUAGAGUCUACAAUGAGAUAAUAACAGGCAUUCUUGCAGCACAAUAAAUGACAGAAAACAAACAAUGAGAAAAAUAACGAGUAGAUCAGCCUUCUUAAAUUUGAUAAAUGCAACAGAAUGAUAUGCCUUCCCAAGCUUAUUUUGAAAUGCUUCUUACGGAAAGUAUCAAUAUACUUAAGAUUUAUAAGUCUUAUCAACACAAAAUACCAAUAUUGCAUUUUAUUAACCAAUUUUUUUUAUAUGAAACAACAAACUACUGAAAAACUGUCUCAGAGAAAAUUAGCCCUCCUAAUUAACAUACACAAAACAGAGAGUUCCUAACCAUGAGCAGAAUGUAACGAUAAAUUUACACCAAACUUCCAAGAAAAAAAAGGAAAAACGUGUCCCUUUGACUUGAACAUUUCUAAAAAAAAAUAAAAAAUAAAACUAGCAUGUAGCUGCAUUGUUGAAGUUGACAUGAGAUUUCCCUAUUUAUAGAAACUCACAUAUUAUAUAUAAGUAAUUAUACAGAUAAGUACUACUAGACUAGAAUCACCCUUGAUUAUCGCUUGGAUAGAACUUCAUUUUGAAGUAGUUCAGAGAAACAAAAAUUUCCAAUAAAAUAACAAGGAUGAUACUGGAAAUUUCAUAUUCAAAACAAGGGAACUCAAAAGGACUUUUGAAAUAAGAAGAGGAAUAAAAACUUCAGCCAAUCUACUUACUGCAGCUCAACCAAAAAGAUCUUGCAUCAAAAUAGAAAUGUUCAAAUUAUAGAAGAUUAUUAUAGUAAAGUUUUAACAUAGGGCAAAAAGAUCCUAGGAAACAAAUUCCAUUAUGCAAGUCAUGUCAAAAAGACAUAACACACUCCCCAGCCCCCAGACCCCCCGCCCCCCGCCCCAACAAGAAAAAAGAAUUCUCUCUGAAUUAAAAUGUGAACAUGGUUCAUCAAUCAGCACCCAGUUUUUACAUGUUCUAGAACUGAUUUCCCAAUCCUUUUCUCCUAUUAAUCAUAACAUGAAUAACAUAAAUGUGGAUACGACAUCUUUGCCAAUGUGAUUCUAACAGUCCUACAAGCAAUGUUUGACAUCUCAAACAUCUAGGUUAACCCUUUCAGCUAUUACCUUACAGAAAACUAUAUAACCUAACGUACGGUGCAACAAAAGGAAUCACCCUAGAAGGCAACCGAUCGGUUCCCCCCUCACAUUCAACUUCUCAAUUCUUUCGAAAUCGAUCCUUUUCUCAGGCCAACCUUCCUUUGCGAUUUGUCGAUCAACGAGUAACGGGGUCAAAGAAAAGGUGCAGGAUUCACAGAUAAGUAGUGGAAAUGCAGAAAGACGGGAUUUUUCUUCAAGAAAUCCAUCUAUUCGCCACGUACAAUCAUCGAAAGCGAAUAUAUGAUUGCAAGCUAAAAGAAAUAAACUAGAGGCGAGGACAAAGGGAGAGGACAACCUGUUGGGCGAUGGCGUCAUGGGAGAGCAUGUAGUCCCUGUAGAGGAGAUAGAAGCCGGCAAUGGACGCUGUGGCGGCUCCGGCAAAGAAGGAUGCCAACCUCACCCGGAAGAGGAACCCCAUCUCUCUCUCCCCCCUCCAAUGAUGCCUUUCUUCGAUCCCCUUGCCUUCCCGGCUUUUAUAGCCGCCCCAGCAGCGACGGCCAGGUGUUUGCGUUUUGGUCGGGUAAAGAUGGGGGGAGGAGGAAUACAGACAAGUGUUCCAAGAAUUUGGAUCAUUAUUAUUUUUUAUCUAAGCUCAAUAUUUUUUUUAUCCAAAUAGAAAAUAAACUAUUAGAUCAAAACACGAUAAGAGAAGUUUUCCUUCUUUUUCACAAAUAUAUAGUGCUAGAUUUCCUAACCUGGUUUGCAACCCUUGUUGGUGGGAAUUUUUUUUUUUUUUUCCAAGAACGACUUUUGAUCCUACGAUUUGCUAUGAUGAUCCGAUAAAACUUAUCUUAGGAUGAUCUGACAAUAAUCUACUCAGACAGGGGAUUCUUAAUAGUUACGAGCCUCCACUAUUUUAGGCGCAGCAUGACAUGACCUUCCACCUGGUAAGCUCCCUCCUUCGAUGCCUAUUCCAAACUUCCUAUACCGUAAUGAAUUCAUUAGUUUUCGCUUGGUUUCCCUCACAAGAAACAUUCUACCUGCAAAAUCACAAAUGAAAAAUAUAAUGCCUUGAGGUUUUCCCGUCUAACCGAAAUAUGACAUAUCUCAUGCGAUCCUUUGGGCUUCUAAGAUUCCACGUAUAACAAAUAUAAGCAAUAGUGUUCUUAGGAGACACCAGAUGUGUUUAGAUCAGACUGAUCAAGUUUACCUUCAUUUACAGAAUCCAAAGGCUAUAUUUGCUUCAUUCCUAACACCAGAUCAAUGAGAAUAUACUCGAACAUAAACAAAUACCUGUGACAUCGAAUAUAAAUGGCAACAAGGGAUUCACGAAAGGCCCGUUUGAGCAACCAUGACUAGUGCUCAUCUCAUCAUCAUCUCUCUAUAUGGCCAAAGUUGUAGACAUGACGUGUCUGAUAAAAACUUGUCCCCUCUUACUUGAAAAGUCAACUUAUUUUGACUUGAACAAGUCGAGACGAGUAUCCCAAAGCAUUCAAAGCUGAUGCACCUCUGAUAGUUUCCCAACCCCAAUUUACCAUCCAAAUAUCUGAGCCCGUCCCAAAGGAAAUUGUAAUCGGCAUACCAACGGUCUUCCUCUUUCUCCAACAUGCAUCGCCACAAAAUCAUCAUGUGGAAGCAAUGUAAUUAUCUAUCUGGCAUCUGGGUAUUUGAACCAGGAACAAAGACUAUCAAACUAAUCAUCAAAUCAAGUCAAGAAGAUGCAUUAAAAUUUGCACAGUUGCAAAGAAUUCUUGUUCUUUUUUUUUCACUUUCAAUUUGAAACAUGAACUCAAGUACAAGUUGGCAGAGAAGAAAAAAUUCACACAAAGGAAAAGCCCCUGGUUAUAGUUCAACAUAAAAACCUGGGAAAAGAUGAUCAGAGAGCUUUAUCCUGAAAUAAAUUCCAAACUUUGUUUGGCUGCAAUUUCCAUCCAAGUAAUUGGGUUGCAAGUUUCAACUGGUAACACCUGCCAUUAAAUAAACCAAACAUGUUGGUAUUAGUCAUGAGUUAAGAGUGGUGCAAAAUAUGUUUACCACCACCAGAAUAAUAUGACGUGAAAAUGAUUGGAUAUGCAUGUUAGAUCUCAAAAUGUAUAACCACCAAAUGUAACAGAACCUCUGCAUAGAGAUUGCCCUUGUACAUUGAUCAAAACACAAGUUACAGGCAACACUUUGAACAAGUGAUAAGUUUUGCCAACUAGUUUGUACUUCAAUUAGGUGAUAUUAUCUUGGACCAAUUGCCUGCCAUAUUAGAUAGAAAAUAUGCAAAUAAAUUUCAAAGAUAUCCUGUUUGAGAAAAAGUGCAAAAAGACUUUUAAAGAAAUCAUGUUGAAUACAAUAUGUUUCAGAGUUUCAGGGUCUAAACUUGUCAAAAGCCCUUAUUAGAGUUUAUUAACAAUAUGUUUCAAAUGGUGGUGUUUGUUUCACUUUAUCUACUAUGUACCUUACCGGUUGAGUUAGGAGCAUUUGGUUAUAUAUUUCAUCAAACUAUAUUUGACUAGUGUCGCUACUGAGAUUUGGUACACCUAGAAGUUUUGAAUUUGAUGAUGUGCAUAUUUUGCUAUUGCAAGGUUUCCUUGAGCAGUUUUGGAGCAAAGAUUUUAAUUCAAUUCAUUGAUGUUUAGUUUAAAUGAAUAUGUGAGAUUUUGAUAUAGGACACAAACAUAUUACUGACCAAGAGGCAAAUGAUCUGAUAUGGCAAGUGAGAAAGUCAUGGUCCCAGCAAUAGAAUGUAUCCUAAUAAUUCUUAUGGCAAGUUAAUUUAAUAUGGGAAUAUGAUAUCUAAAGUGAAUGUAAUAAAUUUCCUACCUUUAACAUGAAUCAAAAUAAAUCUGUCUUAAUCAAUCACAUAUACCUUGAGAAAUUACAUUACAUCAUGCUAAUCCUCAACCUAUUUCAUCUAAGGGUUCUGUUAAACCAUACAUUAAUACACAAGAUCAGUAUGUUCUCAGCAUAGUAGAAUGGUAUGUAUUAUCUACUUGAAUCAAAUUUAUGCUAUGCAAAUACCGGUGUUUAUGUAUCUACUGUUAAGCCAUAUGCAUCUGUAAGCCCUAACAUUUAACAAUAUAAUUUUCUAUAAUUUCUCAGAUAGAAUAUAUGUUAGCAAAAUGAACCCCUCAAUUCCAUAAAAAACUAUUAAAUUCUUCUAACCUUUCUUCCCAUUUUUCUAUUGAGUACUAUCUUUAACUAAGCCUGGUAGAAACAUAGAUAUAGUUCUAUGGAAAGAGAAAGCUUGGAACUGAAAGAAACCAAAAUAAAACAUAAGCAUUAAAUUCCAAGUUAUCAAAGUGUACAAAAAUAUAAGAAAAAAAAACUAAAAUAGGUCAGUAGUAUCUUCAUAUAGUAGGAAAAUGUCUUACUUCUAUCGUGAACAUUUCACAGGAUGCACAUUUGGACAUACAUAAUGUACAAGACAUUUAUUUGACAAGUCCAAAUUAUGCAAACUUAAAUGCCUGAAAACAAGCAUCAAAUAUAUCUUACAUUAUAUAUGUUUAAAUGCCAGUUAGCGACUUGAGUAUAAUGUGCAUAAACAAAAAUUUGGUCCAGGUAUCAAGAGACAGUAAUGCAGAUUAGUUUCUCACAGCAGUGGUACCAAUUCCUGUUGCAGAUCAAUUUAUCUUCAAUUCUGGACCAUGAUGGCACAUGUUGAUGUCUAGCAUAUUAAUAUGUUAAACAGAGAGAUGGGCUAACUGGCAUAUGAAAUCACUGUUUUGAUAGUAUUGUGUCCUUUUCUGACAAAAGAAAGAAAUAUUUGAUAUAGAUUAAACCUUAUAUCAUUUAUUAUAGUUUGGAUGUCAUCUGGAUUCUUUGGCUAAAUGUUGCCAUGUAAAUGAACACAACCCUCGACUAUUCAGGUACUCUUUCCAGAACUAGCCAUCUAAAUGUUAAUCCUUGGUAGCAUGAGCAUAAUUGGAUGACUUGAAAAUAAAUCAUGCCACCCACCUCAUCCAUGUCAUGCAAUUCUCAAGUAUGCCAUCAAGGUAUACAUAGUUUCAUGCUCAUAUCAUAAAGAAUUACCUAGAUAUGUGUGUUCCGGUUGAUCCUUCUUCACAUGUUGACAAUUAUUGAGAAUGGCUAAAUAUGUACCAGAUGCAUCCACAGCUGGUGCAACCACAAAAACGAAGAAGGGAAGAAGAGGAAGAAGAAGAGAUACCAGAGCAGAGGAACCAGAGUACUUCUCUGUGCUGCUCAGCUGCACAGCAUUGUGAUCUCCAGGCACAGAGCAUAGCAAAAUGAGUGUGAAAAGAGAGAGGAAUCUGUAUUGUGCCCUUGCAUCCUGCAUCCAAUCCUCGAAGACUGUAGAUCUUGCAACCUACUUAAUUGAAAGAAAACCACUUCCUAAUGUUCAAAGGUUGCCUGGCUGACGUACCCGACUUGUGAUGGAACACAGCAAUGGCCUCACAGGUUAGUGAGCCCAUGUGGCAGGAAAAGUAGUCAAAACUCAAAUAAAUAGAAAUAAGAGAGAAUAUGACAAAACAUGUUUGCCAAAUUAAGAAAUAUGCACAAACAGAUGGAUUUUGAUCUUUGAAACUUUAUGUUAUAUCUCAAUUCUAUAUACUAUUUUAUAUUAUUAAUAAAUGCAUCUCUGUGUCCUUGUGCCAAGUUGGAUACUCAGAUAUGUAUCUGAAUCUUAUUCCCAUAUCCAUGUCCAGGUAAUGAUGGUGCCAUGCCCCAGAAAUGCAACCAGGGGACUAUAUUGGCACCUGACCAUCACAUCAUGAUCAGGGGUAGGCACACACUUGGUGGGUCAACAGCAAUCCCAAGGGACAUUCUGGGCCUGAUGUAUGACCCUAGGGAGUUUCUUUCUUGUCUAAUCUUGUCCUUGUUGAAAUUGCAUUGAGACAAUAACUGUGUUUUUGCACCAAUAUGGCUCGCUGCUAAUGGGAAAGGAAAUGAAAUGGAUCAUUAUGAUAAUUUAUAAUUUGGGAAGAGAACAAUUAAUCCAUAUAUCGUUAGUCAAUGAUUUAAAAAGCGCUAAGCACCAAGGUCCCAAAAACGCCCGAGGCACUAGGCGCUCACUCAAGCGAAGCAAGACGUUCUAAAAUAUUAAAAUAUAAAAAAUAUAUAAUAUAAUUAAUAAAUAUAAUUAUUUAAAUAAAAAUAUAAUAUUAAAUUAAAAACAAAUAUUAGCAGUGUUAAAAUCUAAAUAGUAUAUUAUUAAUCUAAUAAAUAAAUAUUAUUUGAACAAUAAUUAAUAAUCUACUAUUAACAGUAUAUUUACUGUUAACAGUAGGGAAUAGUAGAGACCGAAGAAGUCGCGGUGAGAAGCUGAGUCGCAAGUAGCAGACAGCAGCGGAAGUUCCGAAGUCGCGGACAACAGGAGGUAACAGACAGUAGUAAGCAGUGGACAACGACAGCGGCAGCGGACAGCAGCGACAGACAGCAGAUAGCAGCAGAAGCUGAGGAGACUCGGUCGACGAUAGAGGAAGACUUGGAGGCAAUGGGACAAACCGUCGACGGCGGAGGUAGAGGGGGAAAUCGUCGGCAGCAAACACAAAGGGAGAAAUCAUUGGCGACGGAAACAGAGAGAAGCGUGUGUAGGGUUGGGAAUUGGGGUCGCGUGCUGAUAUAACUGCGUUCGUUAGUUGGUUCAAUCGAACCAACUAAUGCAAAUUUAGGCGAUUCAAUCACCUUAUAUCAACUGGGCACUCGCCCAAAGCGCCCGGCGCCUGGGCUCGGGCGAGCACCCAAGUAGUGCCUCAUUGAAGCACGCCACCUGACCCUUAAACGAGGCGCUCGGGCCUCGUCUCGCCCGAGCGCCUUUUUAAAUCACUACUGUUAGUUGCUUUGUUUGUCUAUCUAAACUAAACAAUGUCACUAAAUUGAAUUUAUAUAUCAUACACAACUUCAAAGAAUAUAAAUAAUUCCAACUAUAGAUACUAACUUAUGAACCAAAAGAUUUAAGUAUGGACUUACUAUCUCCUUGAAAUCAAGCCAGCUCCAGUUGACCUGGCAAAGUACAAGUAGCCAUGCUAAUUAAACUUAUCUAGAUUGAAAAUCAGAAAAUUGCAUGAUCUAUAGUCUUGCAUAUAUACAUAUAUACAUAUAUAAUCAAACAAUUCAAAUAAUACCUCCCUUGCUGCUUCCCUCCAAAACUAUGUCUUCCAUUACUUGGUCCUUGGCAUUGCGAAGAGGACAAACCCGUUUUAUCAAGGUUUGCUGUACUUCCAACACUAAAGUUGAAAGAGGAAUGGCCAGUUUGGAAUUCAGAUGGGAAACCAUUAGCUUCUUGGACAUUCUUUAAUUUACUUGAAAUUGUGACAUCUGAUAGCCCCUGAAUAAUGUUAACUCUGAUACCAUUUGGUUGUUGGUUCUGUGUUGUCAAAAUCUGGGAGCAGUUGUUACUUGAAUCUCCAAUAUCAGUAACAGCAGCACCAACUGCAGAAGGCAUGGUGUUUGCAACCUUUGAUUCAAUUGAUUGUGCCAUUUUCUGGCGACUGAUUUGAGCAACAGGAGUGACAGCAACUGAAUGCAAUAAUGAUGUGUAAGGAGCAGAAGAUGCAGAAGCAGCAGCAACUUUGGCAACAGCAGCAGUUGCAGAUAUAAUUUGUUGUGCUCCCUCGCGAAGGUGAAUAAAGUCCCCUUCAAUAACAAAUAACUGGAACCACAAACUUAGAAUUUUACUAACAUAACAGUUCAAGUUAACAUUAGAUAGCUCAAAUGUUGACGGCUAAAACCUACUUCAGGAUAAUGUGAAAUAAAAUCAUCAAGCCUUCCAUGGUACUUCUUGUAAUGGUGCCAGUGAAGGGGUGCAAGCAUUUUCCCAAGCCUAUUUGGUAGCUAAAACAUACAUAACAUACAAACUUAAUACGAAUUAUGAAAGAUAUUAUAACAAUCAGUAAAUUUGCUAUACUGUUUUGAUGCUAAAUAGUUAUACUCACUGUUGUACUGAUUCUGAUUCUACCAUCUGAUCCGGCAGGAACAGCACGGACAAUGCAAGCCAAAAGUGAUCUUUCAUCUAAAAGAUUGGGUUCCACUAGAGGUUUACCAGGCAUCAAAAUACUUGAAUCAGGUGCAGCCGAUACAGCAGAUUCUUCAGUACCAUUUAAACUGAUAGAGGAGCUACUUUGACUGGCUGAUAACAUGAUACCAGAAGUUAGACGUUGUUCAGAUUCGAGCACCUGAUCUUGUGAUUGGUUAUCUGCAGUUAUACUGGCCUCAACCUGCAUAAACAAAGAAUCAACAAUACUACAAGAACCUCUACAUGCCUGUAGACUGAUCUAUUAGCCUUUUCAACCAGCAUAUUGGUGUUCAUUGAGAUCUAAACUGGCAGCUUUCAUUCUUUAAUUUUUAACAUUUAUGAAUGGCAUAAAAGGGGUACAUACCCCAGGUUCAUUCUUCUUUUCUGGUGGGUAGAAUUCUCUUGCUGAAUCCAAGUGAGAAGGUGCAUCUACGGUCCCUUGUGGUUGUUGUGUAAAUGUGUUCUGUUAACCAUCAAUGAAAAGUUAGCAUAAGCAAUAAGUGUUACCUAAGAGACAUCAGAGUAGCAAUCCAUGAUCCAGAUAAAAGCAGUCUCUUAUUAGCAACCUGAGGUUUUUCACUUGAAUCAUUGCCUGGAGGGCCAGACAUCUGUUGCUGGUCUGUGUGGCUGUUAAGUUGGUCAGGAUGGACCAUCUGUAUUUCACCAAGCAGAUUGGAGCUAGAAUGGGUAUCUGGUCUUAAAAUAUCUUGCUCUGUUUGGGAUGUCACGAACUUGCUCUGAUUAGGUAUCUGUGAGAUGUCUGAUGCAGUCUAAAAGAGAAAAGAAAUACAAAUUAAUGCUGAAAGUGGCAUUGUAAAAACAAACACAAGGCUUUGAAAUUCUGUGCUACCAGCACCUGAUGAUUUUGCCAAAGUUGGUGAGGUGGAACCAUAGGCAUUGAUUGAAAAUGACCCAUGUGAGACUGAGGAAUAGGAGAAUUGGUGGAUGCUACAGACUGUGGAUCCAUUACAUAACUAUGCAUUGCAGACAUUUGGCCAGGAGGAAUUAAGGCAUUCAUACUAAUUAUGGAAGAUGGCACAACUGAAACACUGGGGAGAGGAUCAGUCUGAAAAAAAAAGAAAAAGAAACUUAACAUCAAAAGGAGAAUACUCUUUAAUUAUAAAUGAUAUCAGGCAAAUAUUUAAAUUUUAAUUUUCUUUGUGCACUAAAAUAAACCAGAAUAAAUAAUGCAGCCUUACAAUGUAUAUACUAAUUUUUAGUUGAAUAGCAUUUACAUUGAUCUAGCUUACAUUUAUUUGGCAUAGAAUUUGAGGAUACCGGUGUUUGAAGCCGUAUAAUUACUGUGAACAACAGAUCCAUGAGUGCAGUGACGAGGAGUUGUCAGGACUGUUAGACAACUUCUGGUCCAUUGGCACAGGCCAAACAAGUGUUCCCACAACCCAAGACAACAUGUGACCACAGGAAACCCAGUAAUCCAUUGCUAUUGAUAAAAAAAAAAGAUGCAAAAUAGUUUUGAAUUGAGUGUGUAAUGCAUACACUCAAUUGUUAUGAAAUUUUCAAAGAUCAGGAAUCUUAUUCCUAAUUUUUUAGUUUGUUUCCCUUUUCUCACAUAGCUUUUCCCUCUCAUUUUUUUCCUUUUCUUGUGUGCAGGACGGAGGGUGGCUCUCAAGUGGAUUACAAAGUAGAAGCUAGAAGCUACUGAUUUAUAUCUUGUUCAUAUUUAGUUGGUUUGUAUCUACAAAAAAUGGAUAGCAUCUAUGAUUGAAUUCCCAAUUUUUGUUAUCCAGAUCAUGUGCCACCACACUCUGAGAUGCUGCAAUACCAAGAACCAGAAAACAGAACCCAGAUCAUAGUAUCAAGAGAUAAAUGGUAAUAUGGUUACAUAUGCCAAAAGUAAUACUCAAUUAAUGACUCUUGCUCAUUUUUAUUAUUUUUAUAAUUUAUUUUAAGACUUCUAGUCACAACCCGAGUCUGAUGGGCUAACUGAUCUAUCAAUUUCAUUGAUCCCAAACCACUAACAAAAAUAUUUAAGCUAAAGUUGACAGUAGUACACCCAUCAGACCCUUAUGAGUCAAUCUUAGUCUUGCCCAAUCGGGGUGCUACAAUCUCCCCUACUUAAGGGCUUGACAUCCUUAUCAAAGCCCAGCAUAGCCCAGAUCAAACCUAGUAUUGUGCAUGUGAGUUAUAAUAGUCGAGGUGUUAUAAUCUCCUCAUUUAAGGGCUUGACGUCCUCGUCAUAGCCCAGUGGUGGCUACACGCCGUGACGAAUCCUCUGACUCCAUCCACGAGUGGCCACUAUACCCUAAUACUAGGUCGCCUCUGAUACCAUUAGUCACGACCCGGUCCUGAUGAGCUUAUUGGACUGUCAACUUCGUUGAGCCCAAACCAUUGGCCAAAAUGUUUAAGUUCAAUUGGACAGUAAUAUAUAUAUCAAACCUUUAUAAGUCAAUCUUAGUCUUGCGAUUCUUGCCCAAUCGGAGUGUUAUAAUCUCUCCCACUUAAGGGCUUGACAUCCUCGUCAAGACCCAAUAUAGUCUAAUCAAACCCUAGCAUUGUGCAUUUGAGUCAUAACAAUCAGGGUGUUACACUUCUAAUCAAGGUUAGUACUUAGUAUAAUAUUUUCGAAAUGAAAAGAACCACCUUAUGUGGUAGUACAGUAGCAUCUUUUCAUUGGUUUUACUGCAAACCAGUUAUGUACACAACCUUAAAGGCAAAUAGGCACAGAGCACCUUAAUCAUUGUAUUAAAUUUUAUAACAUGCCAUACAUGAUGAGUAGAUGCCACACAUGAUCAUAGAAUGGUGCUUUGGAUACAAAAAGGAAAAAAGAAAAAAGAAAAAGAUUCAAAGAUACAGCAAGUUACUGAAUCUACCAACUUCAGUUAGUGACACAAAUAUAUACUGGCUUGAACUCUGUACCAUGUAAAUCAAGGAAUAAUUUAGGAAGCACACACUAAAUAGCACAAAGUUUACAAGACACACCAGCCAAAUUGCAUGAGCAUUUCUCCUAAUAGCACAUAUCUAUAAAUAUGCCAUAUAUAUGGUUAUCUAAACUGUAAGUUGAUAAACAGAUGCUAAUUAAUCAAUUUUAUAGACUUGAAUUUACUAAGACAUCAAGAUUUAGAACUUCCAAAUAGUGCAACAUUAACCUUUUCCACAUAUUCCUAUAAGAUGAUACUAGAAUGUAGCAUGUAUCAUAAACCCACAAAAGAAAUUUCCAAAAAUGAUUACACUAAUGCAUCUAUAUACAAGAAAUAAAUGAGCUGAGCGAAGCUGGAGUAGUGACAUGAGAAGAUGUAGAACAAGACUAAAGAGAACUUCAAUAGAAACAGUAUGAAGAGAAUCAGUGACUCUUUUCAACUAGAUGUUGCUCGCAAGAUCACUCAAGGGAGGAGGUGAUGUCCAUGACGCAUUAAUUGAUGGGACCUUGUGACUUAUCACUGCAUCUACAUGCAAAACUAGUUCUACAAUUUCCUCGGAAAGGCAUACUAUCUACAAAAAGAAGGCCACUAUAUAUCUGGAAUGCUAUCACAGACAAUGACAAUAAUGUUAAGUAUCAUUUUUCACAUAUAAAUAUCAAACUACUAUGAAUAAUCAACACAGUAAUGAAAUUUUAUUCAUUGAUUGCCAUCAAAUAAAAGAAACAACAGGUUAAUUGCAAGGUUGCAUAUCAGGAGGUGAGAUUGUUGAUGAUUAAGCUCUGGUAUGAAUGGAUAAGUUAAAGAGCUUUAAUGUUUCAUCCUACCUUAGUAGAAGAAUUGGAAGCCGAAACAUGAGGCAUGGUCCUAUCUACACUUCCAUUAGAUGUGAAUCCCAAGUGAGUAUCUGAUUUUCCAUCAUCUUUCACAUUGAUCUGGUUUCCAUCAUAUGAAGAUGAAUCCACUGAGUUCUCAUGAGUAACUUGCAAACCAUCUAUAAACAGUCUAUUAUUUCCCCUUGCCUCAGCCAACUCUAGCUGAAGCUGCUGGAUAGCUUGCAUAUGAUAGUGCUCCAUUUCGACAAACUAGAAAAAGAAGUCAAACAAUAACAAAAAGGGAAUGAGGCCAAAUUAAAAUAUUAUCAUAGCAAAACAUAAUAACCAAUUUAAAAAAUAUUGUGACGAACAAACAAAUGAUAUGUAGAUUGCUGUAGCACAAAAGAAAAAGCAAUUGCAAUCCAACCUGCCGUUGAGAACCCAUCCAAUAUUGGUUAAACUGCUCAGUACGUUCUCGUAGCUCAGCUUGUAACGACUGGUUAGUAGAAGACUGCAAAGCAUCCAUUUCUUGAACACGUGCGAUCCAAGCUUGCGCCUCCCUUAACUGUUCAUCCUUGAAAAGGAUAGUUUCUUGUACGACUCUAUGCUGAAUGGAAGAAUUUGUUAUAGUUGAUUUCUAAAUUGUUAUAAAUUGAUGAAACUAAAUGAUAAGUUCUAUUUCAGGAGACAAAUUAACAGAUAAACAUUAUAGAAAUGUAUAAAGUUAACACAGAAUAACUAAAAAGUAAUACAUAAUUACUAGCAAAUAUGAACUCACAAUUACUAAAAAUUAAGGACACACACAGUUUAGAUAAUAAUUUAAAUAAUAAAAAGGUUCAAGAUAAUUAUACAAGCUUAAUCCAUGGUAGUCAGAUCACCACAGACAAUCCGCUUGAUUGGCACUCAAUUUCUUGAGUUAUUACAACUCUUAAUAGCAAAUCAGAACCUCCACAUUUUCCUAGUACUAUAGUAUAUAGAUUCAUCUAACACAUUUAGGCAUCAUUUCAAGUGCCUCUUAAAUCAGAGACACAAUGAACUCCACAGAAGUGUUACAUGGAUAAUAGUGUCAAACCCCACAAGAUGUCACAAAAGUAUCCACAUAUCCAUUGGUUGGACACUAAUUGACUCCUAAGUUAUGUUAGUCUAAUGUUAAAUAACAACGACAAUACAAGAAGUGAAUCUUUUUAUGUUUCCAAAGCUACUUAUAACAUAAAAUCUAAUACUCAUGUUCUCAUAAAACAACAUGCAUCAUAUUAUUAUUUUUUAUUAUUUUCCUUGUAUGUAUCCCCAUGUCUCCAUUUUGUAUGUUUGCCAAACCGGACAGUUGGAUUCAUGUCCAUAUUAUAUUCUCUUCUCUGGGUCCAUAUAAUACUGCUCCAUAAAAUCAAAACAGUUGACAAGUGAUACACACUUUCACUGUUUAUAUCUGCCCCUAUAAGAUAACUUAAGGUCCAUGCCACAGGAACAUAGGGGCAAACCAAUCAUCAUCAAGAAAAGCUGAUUUAGAAACUUCAUUCCAGAUGAUCCAUUUUUACAAAUUAGAUCAAGUAAAGCCAAUUGUCUUCCACAUCAACAUGUGAUAUGGAUACCUAAUGUAUAAGGAAACCAUCUGAAAGCCAUUUGCACAAACACAUUUGAAUUUAGAUGUUUCCUAACUUCUUCAAAGCUAACCGAUACUAGCAGUCAGUCCUAAUCAAAAUUCAACAAGUGUAGCGUAUAUGGUACAAUAAGCAUAUACAUGAAUAAACAAUUCGAAUUAACAAAAUAGAUCCUUACAACAACCACCACAAAAAGGACGAGUAGUACCAAAUACCAAGUAAAUAAUGCUUGAAGGGUCCCAUUGAGAUGUUGAAACCGCAAAUAUCACUUCAUUAGGUUUCAAUUUAUGAAAUAGAAGGUACAUUUUAGCUCAAGAAUAUGAAUUUAUAUAAAGUAGGAAAAAGAAUUGUCACAUCAACCUGCUCCUGCAAUGCAAGAAACUGAAACUAAUGCUUAAAUGGUGUCAUUGAAACGUUAGCAAUCAAAAUAUUACUUCAUUAGGUUAGGUCUAAAUUCCAUGUGAUAGAGGAUGGACUCAGAAUCAUAGUACAUUUAAAAAAUGUAGGGAAAAAAGAAAACAUGUGAUCAACCUGUUCUUGCAGUGCAAAAAAUUGAUUCUCUUUCUCUUGAAUAUGCUCUUGGAGAUCACGUAUUUGGUUCAGAAGUUGUGCUCUUUCUGCUUCCGAUUUAUCCCGCUCCCUUCUGCAUAGGAUAGUAAGUUCAAGACUCUGGUAGGGGUUUUAUCAAACCAGGAUGCAGAAGGUUAAUUCUAUAUGCAAAAGAUUAUUCAUUCAAUAAACAAUUAAUCACUGCAUGAGAACCGCAAUAAGUAGUUUCCUAAUAACUAGGAACUUCAAGUCUGCAACUAAAGGAUCUUAGAAUAAAGGGACAUACCUGACCACCUAAAUAAUUGCAUGAUGAUAAAAGCAAAAAAAUUAAUUAUGGCACUGAAGGGAAUAGUAGCUGAAUGUUUAACUGACCAUACUUGAUGUAUGUUAGCAACUCAUCACCAAGAGAAACAGCAUCUCAGAACAUUUAUACAUACAGAACAGCCCAAGCAUGGGCCAGAAUGGAAGAUAGAUAAAGGAUUCUGACUAUAAGAUCAGAGUAAAAAAAUCACAGAAUAUAACACAUUUAAUGAGGCAUAAUAAUUAUUGAUUUUUAUGAGGAAACUCAAAUACCUGAAAGCUACUAGCUCCUUGUUUUGUUCUCUGAGAAGGUCCUCUUUUGCCCAUGCCUAAAUAAAAGCAAAGGCAUAAAACAAAUCCUUGAAACAAAACUCAAGCUUGCCACUCGAGAAAAUCAAAAAGAGGAGAGAGAGAGAGAGAGAGAGAGCCAAAACAAACUUCUUCAGUGUCAAUUUUCAUAGCAUGUAGCUCUCUAUCCUUNNNNNNNNNNNNNNNNNNNNAUCAAAAAGAGGAGAGAGAGAGAGAGAGAGAGAGCCAAAACAAACUUCUUCAGUGUCAAUUUUCAUAGCAUGUAGCUCUCUAUCCUUCUCUUCUAGUUUCAUCUCCAAUUCAAGUAUGUGUUGCUCCCGUUCAUGUAGUUGCUCCUGUUCAAGGAGUACAACUAACAGAUAAUAAGCACAACAGUUCACAUAAAUCAGUUCUAGGAUCUUGGUGGAGUUAUUACGAGAAGAAAGAUACAUAAGAAUCGACAAUGAUCAUUCAACACAAAUCAGAACAAAUUAUUUGUUUAUGCUUAGCAUAAGAUACAGAGGCAAUCAUAUAUAACUACUUGGAUUUUAAAAAUAUUAACCAAGUUGUGUCGAUAAAAUCCAUGCCAUUUUGCACAUAUAUGGGCCAAAACACUUGUACUUGGCAAUUAAAUUACAAGCAUAUUUCUCUGAUAUGCAACUAGAAUGAAGUAAAAUGAAGCAUCAAGUUCCAUAACAACUGAAAGCUUUUGUAGACUACCAAUCAGAUAUACUGAUAUCAUCUUAAUAGCAGCUUUAGCCUUUCAAGAAUUCAAGAACAGCAAACAAAUACGACAAAGACAAUGAACUAAAGGUGGUAUUAACAACAAAAGGGAAAAGAAAAGUACGAUGGGACUCUGGAAGCAUUUUAAAGCUAACAUUCUCAUGAAGAAAUAAUUAUUAAACUAAAAGGAAAUAAUGAACAGAAGUGGUCAAUGGAGUAAAUGCAUAUUCAUCCUAUGCAAUGACAAUAACUUAAGCUAGCUACGUGUAAGACAUAGAGCAUUUUACACCGAGAUGGCAUUUAAAUUGUGGUCAAUAUAUAAGACAAAUAACAGAUGAUUCCCAAAGCCAAACAAAUCAUGAAAGAAACACCAAGAACCCAAAUUGAUCACGCAUAUAUUUUAUUGAUAUUGUCCGACAAAACCAAGCAUGUGCGAACCUUUAGAUUAGCAUUGAAAUCUAUUUGCUCCUUUAGCUGUCCUUCAAAACUAUUCUGCACCUCCAGGAUAUCUGAUCUGGCAAUCGCCCUAGCUCGGAGCUCAAUCUCCAUUUGCUGAAGCCUUUCUCUCUGCCUCGUGAUUUCUUGCAGCUUCUGCUGCAAUAUAUCAUCAUUCAACUCACCAACACCUUCAGUAGUAACUGAACAAGGAUCCACAUCCAGCAGGCUUGUACCCUCCUGCACCUAUACACAACAAGUGUUACCCGAGAAAAAGAUUAAUCUUUUGCCCCCAAAAGCACCUUCUUCAUAAUAUUCCCAAAAGCGCCUUCCCAAAAAAUAGAUUUACAUCUAUAUUUUGCCUCCUAGACAACAGAAUACCGGAGUAUAUACCUCAUAUAUUGUUCUCUCGGCUGAUUGGCCCGAUUUAACACACACUUGUUUCUGCCGAACAUAAAGAUUUGAGUGGAUAUACAAACCGCAAUACGUUUAUCAAGAAAUGAAGCGCAUUUGACCUCACCUCCACUCCACUGCUCCGGAAGGAGUGCUCGGUGACGGCACGCCACUCCUUUCUGGCUGCCUGAAAAGAGGGCACCGGAACGGCUCCGCCGAGGACGGCGGCGGCGUUCAUGGGUUCUGACAGGACGGUGCUAGCCCCUCGGCAGGGCGAUCGAGCUCAGCCCCGCCUCCGAGCGAGGAGCCCAGGCCGAGAAAAAAAUAAGGGCUUCUGGCACCAAAAAAGAGGACGCUCGGCCUUCCAAGCAGGGAUCGGGUGAUAAGAGCGAUCCUAGGGUUUUGAGAUGGUUGGCCAAGCCCUAAUUCUUGAAGAUAUCGAAGGCGAGUAGGAUUCCAGGAUGAACCGGAGGUGGAUUGGAGAGGAGCCCGAACCCGAUAGAGGUCGAGCGGAGAAACUAGACUGAGAUUAAGGAUUUGGUCGGAGGAAGCUACCGGAGGCUGGGGCGGGGAAGAGUGGGAAGAGAAGAGGAGAGGAAAGCGUCGGCCAAUUUAUAGGGGUCGGAAUGGGGAGACGGGGAAGAUUACGAUGAGAUCAUGGGAGGCGAAUGGUGCGGGUCGGAUGACCGUCGGUGGGUUUUGGUAACGACGCCGUCAACAGUACUAUGAGUCCACACGGUGGUCAACGGAUCCGAUCCUUUCGUGUAGAGAACCGAGACUCCAAUGGUACCGUAAUAGACUUUUGGUCGAAUCAAGUCCAAACUCACAGUACCCGAUCCAAUUAUUGGGUCAAAUUGGGUUGGGUUUCCCGAAUUUAGAUUUGGGUUGGGUCGGGAAAUCCAAUCCCGGAAAUAAUGGAUCAUAAGAACUCUUUUGUCAAACACAACGAAGUCAACCUUUGACAUGAAUUGGACUAUCGUUUCGCACACGGCUUCAUGUAUACAGAUGAUCUAUAUAUGACUUAAUCCGAUUCAAUGUGACACAUUGUUAUAGCCUCGUGUAUUUAUCUACGUAGAUUCCUAAAAAUCCAACCCAAGUUUGCAUUCGAACCUAAUAACAAUUAAACUUCAAACCAAUCCUAAUUUUUAGUCACUGCCAUAAGAAAUUAAUUGAGCUGAUGAGAAGCAAAAGACUAAAUGUGGUCAUAAUUACUAUGCAAAGCACGAUAAUACGCUGAACAGAGUUAAAAUGUUGAUUGAGGAUUAGAUGUCAUAUUCAUUCCAUGAUAGGAUCCUUAAUGAGGAAAUGAUGUUGAUGUUAGUGCCAACUAUGGGUUAUAUGCCACAUCCAUAACGUUUAAUUUACAUUAGUGGUAGGGUCUUACUAGUAAAUAACACGAUUAUUUCAUGGUUUUAUUUUGCAUCUCAAAAAAUCAAAUAAAUAAAUCAUAAUCAUAAAAUUUAUUCUCAUUUGAGAUAGUGUGGCAUGCUAGGGGAAUUAACAUAUAUAUAUAGCCUUCAGAUUUGGUCAACAGUAUUGAGUAAAUAAAUGAUGAGAACACACAAAAAAUAUAUAUAAGAUGAAAGUGACAGGAUGGAUUGAUCAAAUAGGCAAGUUGUGCUUUUACAACCUUAUCAAAAAAUUUGAAGCUUUUUGGGAUUUAACAUGCAUGAUUCUAAUUAUUGCUUUGCUCAUUUGAACGUAUAAGACGUUUGAUUUAAAAAGUAUUUAUAAGUGUUAAUUUCAGAAUUGGUUAUUGAUUUACAUUCGAGUUAAUCGAGUUAAUUUAUUUUUUAUAGAUCAUCAUAUUUUAUAAAUUAUUUUUUUUAAGGAGAUGAAUGCCCCUUUAGACGAAUCCCUCUUGUCCAACAACCAAUCCAGUUCAAAAAUAAAGUUUUGGCCCAUAAUUAGAAAAAAAAAUUCUUAUUUGUUGAGCACUAAGAAAACAUUCCUAGAAUAAAAAUAUUUUUAAAAAAAUAUUUUUUAUCUAACUCGAGUAAAUAUUGUAAGUUCUCUAGACUCUAUGUGUCCAUGUGUCAAGUUUCAGUUGGUUCAAGAAUAUUAAUCAUAUAACAUCAUUACAUUUUAAGAAGAUUUAUUCAUGUUAGUGCUAUGAUCUAUCGUAAGAACUCGAUUACUAUGGUCUAUGCUAAAAACUUAGUUAAGGAUUGUCUUAGAAGUUCAUAUUAGACUAUGUGGAUCAUGCUGGGCAUGUUGUUCGAUUUACUUAUUAAGGAUAAUUUAAAUGCAUAAAAAUACUUUAUAGUUUCAAAAACUUAUCCAAAUGGCUUAUUUCAUCAAUGGUAUGAGAAGUAGGAGAUAUAUGAUAACAUCAAAAAAAUGUUAACUCAAAUGAUCUAGUAAUGGGAUGUUAGAUAUAGGAGUAUGAGGGUAUCAAGGUACGUCGAUUCGAAUUGUUAAGUAUGGGGUGUCAGACACAAGAAACAAGUGAGGGCAUUGAAGCAUGUGAACUUGAAUCACUAACAUAGAAGGCAUUUGACAUAGGAGACUCAUGAGGAUAACUAGAGGUAUUGGCUAACAUAGAAAGCAUUGACAUAGGAGACUCGCGAGGAUAACUAGAGGCGUUGACUUCAUCACUCAUGCAAUAGAUGUCAGAUAUAGCAGAUGUGUGAGGGGUGUCAGGGUGUACCAAUUUAAACCAAUCAUAUAAGAAGCAUUGAACUACCUUGAACUGCUCAUAUAGAGAUAUAUUGAAUACAAAAGACAUAUGAGGGCGUCAGGAUAUACUAGCUUGAACUACUUGUAUAAAGGGGAUCACUUGCAAGAGAUGUGAUGAAGACAUACCGACUUGAAACACAUGUAGAGAGCAUUGAAUAUAUGAGACAUGCAAAGACGAGACAUGUCCACUAUGAUACAGCAAUCACGUGCUACAAUUGAUGAGUUAUAAGGUUUUGUAUAGUUGUCUAUGAUGCAAGUUGUGGAAGGAAUGAAAUAAUCAUUUGCGUAACAAUUGUUGAGUUAGCUCAAAGAAGAUCUUGAUAGGUAUGUGGGUUGAAUCAUUUUUUGAGAUGUAGGGAUCAGCGAUUUGACAAUUGAAUGAGAAAUAGGAACUCCUAUGUUGUUAUAUGAGUCCAAACAAACCACAUCUCCAUAGCUAAAACACAAUUAUGCCGAUAUUUAAGAUUCUAUUGAGAAUCCAAAAGACCCGUCCAAUAUGCUCCAGAUCUCUUGCUCAAAAAUCAGAUCAAGGUUCGAACUUUAGUUAUAUCAGUACAUUGUUUGUCCAUCUCCAUGGCAAUCGACCACUCCUAGAUAGGUUUUGAUGUGUCUAAAUGAUGUCUGAAAAUUAAAAUAGAAAUAUUAUUAAUUUUAUGAUAUUGGCUUUAUUUAGAUUUAUAAAUACAUUUAUACAGAUUUUUUUGGAAAAAAUCCUUCCAUAUACAUGAACUAGAAUAUAUAUAAGCGAGACAUAUACAAGACAUGAACAUCAUUGGUGAAUUUCUCAUAAAUCAUGCUUAAUUAUCAUCUUCCAAUUUGACCAGUGUUUUGAUCUCGUAUCGUCAAGCGAAUCACUAAUUAUGUGAGGCUAGCUGAAUCACUUCAUGAGAUUGUAUUAUCGUCCAUAGCUACUACCACAAAUACCAUAACAACCAUCCAAUUAGUACUUCAAAUCAUACUCAAAGAGACUGAUAUCAUCCAAAAAUUAACAAUGCAUGAGAAUCAUGCUCUAAGUUUUGUUAAUUAGCAUUGUCAUGCUUAACAUAUUUGACACUUAGCUCCAAUUGCUCUUGAAUGAUAAGGUCUCAAUGGAGAUUGUUUAUACUUUAUUAGUUAGGACUCGGAUAGUGAUCUCUUGUGCGUCCAAUAUCACGGGAGUUUGAUGUGGUGGACAAAGAAUUAUAUGUUCCAUCGACUUCUUGUCCCUCUUCUAUUUCUAGUUUUCCAUUGCUGUGUUGGAUGCGAGCUUUAUAUCUGACCUAACCAUCAUCUCAUCUCACUCGUAACUUCUUUAUGAGACGAUUGCACCAACACAUUAAAAAUGCAUAUGUGCCUCUCUGGUCUGUUAGAAUCGAUUGAUCAAGGAGACCAUGAGAUGAUGCAAUGCUAGAAUCAGUAAAGAAGAACUACAAGGAUAAAACGUUUGCAGCAUAUAUGGUGAUGACAAGGAACGCAUUUGAUGCAUUAGCUAUGUUCAUUUCACAAUCCAUAAUUUGCUUUGAUCCAAAGGCCAAAGUUAGGUCAGUGAGACAUCCUAUCUCCAGGAGCCAGUGAUGCAUCAUAGUCGGGUUCAGGUUCCUCUCUCUCUCUCUCUCUCUCUCUCUCUUAAAGAUUAGGCAAAGCAAAGCCCUCUGCCGUCAGAAGGUGAUAUGAGAUUAAACAGCAAUAUCUUGAUCAACUCUUUCCAAAUUAAAUACACUAAAAGGUGUUAAUGGGCAUAGAAUGAUGUAAAUGUGGACCUCUCCAUCCACAUCCGACCUAAAAUUAAUCUUGUUCGGUUCCAGGCAUAUUUGCUCAUGCAUGUUGUCAUGGAACUCAUGCUAAUUAAAAGCAUAUGUCACAAUGGACUUCCCACAGUCUCUUCGUAACUCUUCUUCUUCUUCUUCUUAUGAGACAAACUACAAUUAGGUCCUUUAAAGUGCAGAGUUGCUUGUGCUUGUACCAGUCUUGAUGUAAACUAUAAUUAGGUCAUACAGUAUGCAAAUCAUGAUUGGAAGUCUUGGAGUUGUUCACUUUAAACAUGCUUUGUUAGCAGCUAUAACUUUCCUUACUACGUCAUGCACAUGAACUCAUGGAGAUUGGAGAGUAGAAAUAUGAUUAGGUUUAGGUCAUUGCAAGACUCUUAAACACUUGUAUAAACAUGUUCAAUUGUGAUAGGUGAUAGAGAACUGUAGCCAUCAAUGAAGCACUUAUUUUAUGCUCUCUCGUGAUCCAUGCAUCGAUGGACUUCACAAAGCUAUAGUAAAGUCACAAUAAAGCUAAUUAGUAUAUCAUCGAUGAUGAGAUAAUUGAUCUGCUUACUUUGUUAAGUCUGAAUCAUUCCCGAAAAUAUUUAAACUUAAUCUAACAUUAGGAUAACGAUAAAUACUCAAUUCAAACAUUUAUUCAUUACCGAUAUGAGAUUAAACCUCGGUGUUACACAUUGAUCAAGAAAGAUUGGAAAGAAAUGAAAUCUAACAUUAUGUUUUUCUUGGUUUUCGGCAUUGUGUAGUUCCAUGAUUCGUGAAAUCCUUGGUGAAUUUCCAAAUCCUAGAAUCAUUUAGUUUGUUGUAAUGAUUCGCGAGUAUGAUUCUUAAAUGAACUUAUAAUAAGGUGAGAUUUAGUUUCCAAAUAGUGGAAGUGCAAGGGUAAAUAAAACCAGCUCUGGAACAUUAGGCUUCACCACCAUCAUCAUCCUAUCUUCAUUAGAGUUUUGUGUUGGUACUCUUAAAUUUAGAAUAUGUGAGUGGUUGCUUUUAUAUAUCGGUAUUAGCCAAUAAUUGCUAGAUUAAACUUUUGAGUAGAGUUGAAGUAUGUCCAACUACCAUAAUAAUAUAAUGUCGAUUUGAUCCACCAAGAAAAUUUUUCUUUGGAUCGGAGGAAAAUAUAAUAAACAACAUGAGAGAAUAAACUGGCAAUUGACUCAUUGUAAGUUUUCAUGAGACUUCUCUAGAUUUUUUUUUGAAAGGAUUAAAGUGAAUUUGACAACAUUUAUGAUGUUACACUCAUAAAUAAAUUUUUCAUGCUAAAAUUAGUUUCGGAGUUAAAAAUGUAGAUGAAGUCUUCAAAGCCAUAAGAUUGAAAUAUCUAAUCGAGUGAGAAUUAUUUUGUGUUUUGGGAUGCACCCAAGGUUUUUUAUAAUGUGGCUUUGGGAUUUAUAUGGUUUCACGUAUUCUUUAACCCAAGUGGCAUUAUGCUAUGCCAAAUUUAGAGAAUAUGAGAUGGACACAUUAAGAGAGUGCCAUUACAUUAGCUAAAUACGAUGAAAAUGUUAUGGAUAGAACAAUUAGAACCACUUGAUAUCGAGAUAUCAAUCAUGUAAUACUAGCAUAUCGAUCAUCUGAUAUUAAGACAUCGAUUGUCAAUUCAUUACUUUCUCUUAAUCUCGAUUUUUGUUUAAUUGGUCAAAUUAAAAUUUUAAUAUUUAUUAAAAUUUAAAUAGAUUGAUGAUUGCCCUUAUAGAAAAUAAGAUGAUGAUUUGUAAGGGACAUUCCACAACUCUUCUAUGAAAAUUUGCUGUCAAUAAUAUAAGCCAACUCUUGUGCCAUAUACACAAGAAGAGAAAUUUGACGAAUAAUAAUAAAUAUAUAUUUAUAAAACUAUAAUUUCAGUUGUUGUUUUUUUUGCCUCUCAAUUUAUCGUGAUUUAAAAUCAAUAUAACUUUUUAUUCUUCAUCAAAACUAAAUAACAAGAGAAUUUUUUGAAAAGAUUGAAUCGCUGAGAAAAUGAUCGUUUUGUUAUUUUCCUAAUUAAGAAAGACUUUAUAAUAUCAAAUUAAUAAAUAAUCGUGACAAAUUAAGAGUGUAGGAUUCUUUAUUAGCAAGUAAAUCAACUGAGAUUUACUCUUAUCCUGAUUUAAAUAUUCACAUAAGUGUGUAAAAUGUAGAAUUUUUAAGCUUGACAGCCAACCAACUUAAUAAUAUCAUGAAAUGUAUAUCAUUGAUAAUAAGUUUACCAAUAACAAUUCUAACUAAUUUUAACUUAAUGACAAAUAAAUUUAAAUAUAUAUUUGUAUAUAUAUAUANNNNNNNNNNNNNNNNNNNNNNNNNNNNNNNNNNNNNNNNNNNNNNNNNNNNNNNNNNNNNNNNNNNNNNNNNNNNNNNNNNNNNNNNNNNNNNNNNNNNNNNNNNNNNNNNNNNNNNNNNNNNNNNNNNNNNNNNNNNNNNNNNNNNNNNNNNNNNNNNNNNNNNNNNNNNNNNNNNNNNNNNNNNNNNNNNNNNNNNNNNNNNNNNNNNNNNNNNNNNNNNNNNNNNNNNNNNNNNNNNNNNNNNNNNNNNNNNNNNNNNNNNNNNNNNNNNNNNNNNNNNNNNNNNNNNNNNNNNNNNNNNNNNNNNNNNNNNNNNNNNNNNNNNNNNNNNNNNNNNNNNNNNNNNNNNNNNNNNNNNNNNNNNNNNNNNNNNNNNNNNNNNNNNNNNNNNNNNNNNNNNNNNNNNNNNNNNNNNNNNNNNNNNNNNNNNNNNNNNNNNNNNNNNNNNNNNNNNNNNNNNNNNNNNNNNNNNNNNNNNNNNNNNNNNNNNNNNNNNNNNNNNNNNNNNNNNNNNNNNNNNNNNNNNNNNNNNNNNNNNNNNNNNNNNNNNNNNNNNNNNNNNNNNNNNNNNNNNNNNNNNNNNNNNNNNNNNNNNNNNNNNNNNNNNNNNNNNNNNNNNNNNNNNNNNNNNNNNNNNNNNNNNNNNNNNNNNNNNNNNNNNNNNNNNNNNNNNNNNNNNNNNNNNNNNNNNNNNNNNNNNNNNNNNNNNNNNNNNNNNNNNNNNNNNNNNNNNNNNNNNNNNNNNNNNNNNNNNNNNNNNNNNNNNNNNNNNNNNNNNNNNNNNNNNNNNNNNNNNNNNNNNNNNNNNNNNNNNNNNNNNNNNNNNNNNNNNNNNNNNNNNNNNNNNNNNNNNNNNNNNNNNNNNNNNNNNNNNNNNNNNNNNNNNNNNNNNNNNNNNNNNNNNNNNNNNNNNNNNNNNNNNNNNNNNNNNNNNNNNNNNNNNNNNNNNNNNNNNNNNNNNNNNNNNNNNNNNNNNNNNNNNNNNNNNNNNNNNNNNNNNNNNNNNNNNNNNNNNNNNNNNNNNNNNNNNNNNNNNNNNNNNNNNNNNNNNNNNNNNNNNNNNNNNNNNNNNNNNNNNNNNNNNNNNNNNNNNNNNNNNNNNNNNNNNNNNNNNNNNNNNNNNNNNNNNNNNNNNNNNNNNNNNNNNNNNNNNNNNNNNNNNNNNNNNNNNNNNNNNNNNNNNNNNNNNNNNNNNNNNNNNNNNNNNNNNNNNNNNNNNNNNNNNNNNNNNNNNNNNNNNNNNNNNNNNNNNNNNNNNNNNNNNNNNNNNNNNNNNNNNNNNNNNNNNNNNNNNNNNNNNNNNNNNNNNNNNNNNNNNNNNNNNNNNNNNNNNNNNNNNNNNNNNNNNNNNNNNNNNNNNNNNNNNNNNNNNNNNNNNNNNNNNNNNNNNNNNNNNNNNNNNNNNNNNNNNNNNNNNNNNNNNNNNNNNNNNNNNNNNNNNNNNNNNNNNNNNNNNNNNNNNNNNNNNNNNNNNNNNNNNNNNNNNNNNNNNNNNNNNNNNNNNNNNNNNNNNNNNNNNNNNNNNNNNNNNNNNNNNNNNNNNNNNNNNNNNNNNNNNNNNNNNNNNNNNNNNNNNNNNNNNNNNNNNNNNNNNNNNNNNNNNNNNNNNNNNNNNNNNNNNNNNNNNNNNNNNNNNNNNNNNNNNNNNNNNNNNNNNNNNNNNNNNNNNNNNNNNNNNNNNNNNNNNNNNNNNNNNNNNNNNNNNNNNNNNNNNNNNNNNNNNNNNNNNNNNNNNNNNNNNNNNNNNNNNNNNNNNNNNNNNNNNNNNNNNNNNNNNNNNNNNNNNNNNNNNNNNNNNNNNNNNNNNNNNNNNNNNNNNNNNNNNNNNNNNNNNNNNNNNNNNNNNNNNNNNNNNNNNNNNNNNNNNNNNNNNNNNNNNNNNNNNNNNNNNNNNNNNNNNNNNNNNNNNNNNNNNNNNNNNNNNNNNNNNNNNNNNNNNNNNNNNNNNNNNNNNNNNNNNNNNNNNNNNNNNNNNNNNNNNNNNNNNNNNNUAUAUAUAUAUAUAUAUAUAUAUAUAUAUAUAUAUAUAUAUAUAUAUAUAUAUAUAUAUAUAUAUAUAUAUAUAUAUAUAUAUAUAUAAUAUGAGUGAGCAUAAGAUAAAAGUGUUAUUUAACUUAGAAUUUUUCAUUGUAUUUACUCAUAACUUAUAAAUGAAAUGAUUGUGAAAAAAUAUUUUAUACUUCCAAAAGUAUAUUAGAGCACAUGGCUAUUGAAUUCCUUUUUCCUAUAAUCUUUUCAUAAUAAUUUUUUUUUUAAGAUAGUGUUAAGAAAAAAUAUUGUUGAUAUCUUUAUCAAUUCAAUAUGAUACUAAUCCAUAUGUUUAGAAUCGUCCAAGGUAGAAAAUGUCUCCUUCCGAGAUAAAAACAUCAUGUUCUUGAGAUAGAAAUAUCGUACUCCCAAGAUAUUACAUAUACAAAUAUCGAAGUUGGAAAAAGCUUUACAAGCUAGACCCUGCGACACUUAAGUUAGCCCAUAGAUCGACUUCUCUAGGUUUAUGUCCUUGAUUUAAAUGUCUUUAUAUCUAGAGUUAAUGGUGAAUUUUUAUAUUUAACUUUGGAGAGAUAAAAUAUUCUCAUAAAGAUUAUAUAGGAAAGAUAAUUUAUGAUCGUCUUGAAUUGUUUAUUGGACUCCUACAGACAAAAUAUUCCUAUGAAUAUUGUACAUAAGAGACAUCUUGUAAUUGUCUCAAAUUAUCCCUUCCACUUUUAUCCGUGUGGGUAAGCAAAUGAAUCUAGGCCUUUUCAUUUCAUGAACCUAUGCUUGCGUGAUGGGUAAAGAUUGACUAAUUAUGUAUUUUCUAUUGGGUCAAAAAAAUAAUGAUAAAUUUCUUAUUAUUUCUAGAAAGCCAUUAAAUGUACUUAAGAUCUUAUUUCCUUAAUCGAAUAGAUGUGCUCAUCCCUUUCGUCACACCAUCUGAAGCUGGCGAAUCAUCAAAAGGAUGUCCUUCGGAAUUCUCUCUGAACCCAUCGUUGCUGAUGCAACGGCCGCACUACUGGUCUCAACGAAGAAAUCCUCUCUAUCUCUGUCUCUCUCAGGCAGCAUUGUAAUUGGUUAAAGGAUUCAAAAAGAGUGUGCCAUGGAUAAUGACAACAAAUUCUACGAUGCAGUGGCUCUUCCACUUGGACCGAGAAAAAUUUUGGGCAUGAAACCUGCCUUGUUUGAGUUGGUGAGGUUUGACUUUAGUACCAAGAUGGUUUGGUGGUUGACCUAUUCAAAGCUGACCUUAUUCAGCAUCAGUUUCAGUCCAACAUGGGUCUCUCACAGCUGCAUGCUUCCCAUGGCGACCCUCCCUUUUUCGUUUGCUUGGAUGCAGACCACCCCACAGCAUAUCUUCCCUGAACGAUGCCCCCUGCCAUUCCUAUCUUCAACGGUGCAUGCAUAGUUUGCAGUCGACACAAGAGACAGAUAAUUAUUAGUGCAUGCUAGAAUUGGUUAAUAAUUUUGGAUCUGCAGAGAUAAUGUCCUUUGAAGAACAACGAAUUAUAAUAUAGAAACAUCUUUUUCUUUUGAAGAAAGAAAAACCUGUAAUUAAGAUCUGUUAUAAUAUAAUUAUCUCAUAUAUCUUCAGGGGGUUCUCUAAUGGAGGCGAGAGAAUAAUUUAUCACACUCAACAAAAAAUUCGGUUUUGGACAAAGGAGUGCAGAACGUGUGGACUGGAAUUGGUAUUUAUUUUUUAGAUUUAUGAAGAUUUGUUUUUUUUAGAAUAAAGAAUUAUAUAUAGACAUGACUUCUUUGUAAAGUAAUAAAAUUCUUAAAAUUAUGACUGAUUAUUGGAUAAAUUCUGAAAAAAAGUUUUUUACUUUUAUAAAUUUUAUCGUACAACGUUUCUAUUUUAAUUUUUUAAAAUAUUUUUUUUCAAAAUAACUAUUCUACCCUUUCAUCGAUUGUCUCACUUUCACAUAACCUAACCUAGCGUAUCGGCUAUAGCCUUCGUCAUUGUUCCUAGAACCAAAUAAUUUACUAUGAUUUUACUCGCUCAAAAUCGACAGGGGAUAACCCCGUAUAUGGUGGAGAGAAUAGUUUUAAUUAUUAUUAUCUUCAUCAUCUCAUGCUACUCACACCCCUCGAGGACAAAUCACCCCCUUUACAUAUAGCCUUCUACGAGAGCUAGUUGCCUCCCUUCAUUUGCAAUCGUUAUACAAUGAUUGAUAACUCUCAUGCAAGGAUUGCAAGCGAAAGAGGACAACCAGCUCUCAUAUAAGAUUAUAAGUGAAGGGAGCAAUCAACGAAAGAAGAAAUAAAAUAGACUUUUCACAUGGAUCUACUGUUUUAAUUUUUUUUCAAAAUAAAUAUUCUCUAAAAAAAUAUAUGAAUUUUUUUUUUAAAAAAAAAUCACCCUAGAUUAUUUUCUAGUUUUUUCUGCAGCAAAAUAAGUAGUGAAUAAUCGAGUUGUGAGUGGCGCUUAAGAAUAAGAUAGCUCAACAGGUAAAAUCUCUACGUUGAUCACAUCCUUAUCCAACCCACUUGACGGUACACCCUUGGCACCCACGGCACGAAACACGAACGCCCACGUGGUUAUUGACCAAUCCCAAUGCGAUUAUAACGCGAGCCGUACCACGAUGGCGUAAGACAAAGUGUCCGUCCUCAAGCACGCGUAAUUCGUGACGUAAUUAGUCAACCCGGAAGAACGCUUACAUUUGGAAGAGAUAUGGUGGAGACUCUACCGUGGCAACAUCUGGGCCGUCCGUGGUUACGUUUCUUGGACGCCUUCCUCCUUCCCCCUCGAUAAGAUCUAUUAUAGCUCACCCCCAUCUGCGACACUCACUGCUAUACCGCACGGUCUCACGAGACGAUCCCCCCUUACGUGCUUUCGGAAUCGCGGGUCCCGUCGGAUGACCGCAGGGUAGCUCGACGGCUGUCGGGUCGUAACGGAACGUCCCGAUAAGAUACACGAUAUAUUACUCCGAUAAAUUGAGAUAUAAAAACGGUUCUCGAGAUUCUUCCUAUUGCGUGUAUUCUUCCUCCUAUAUAAACCCCCCCAUACCUCGACUCGAACUCGCGCCUGGUUCUGCUUCUUCGUUCCCUCUACCUGCGCCGCGCCCCUCCACGCUUCCCCGUUAGGGUUCCGUCCCGUCUGACGUCUCCAUCUACCGCUACGCGUCUCUGAAGGAUCCCUUAUUCCCCUUAUCUGAGGGUGUGGCCAGGUCGGCGGUGGUUGGUUCCGCGAAUCCCCUGCGAGCUCCGCCCCUUGCGGUGCUCUUCGGUCAUCGAUCCCUUCGUCUCCACCGUCUUCUGAGGGAUUUUGUGGCGUGGGGAUUUUGUGGUCGUCUGAGGGAGCGCUAGGAUUUACCUUCUUCAUAUCAGACCAUUCCUGCUUCGUUUGGGGGGGUAGCCGAGGCUCCGGCCUCGGCGGCUUGCAAAGCCCCCAUCUUGACAUCGAGAUCUGAAGUAGCGUCCUUUUUCCCUUUGUUUGCGGCUACUACCGGGAAGAGAUGCCGGCCUUCACGUGCGUCGAUGCUGCAGUGCCACCCCAUGGCUACGCCUUUGCGUGGGACGGCGCUCUUCCCGCGCAGGGGGCAUUCCCCGGCGACGCUUCGACGACGGCGGAUGGCCCCACCGCCGACUUGUCCUCCCCGUGGUCCACUGACCUCUCCGCUAAGCUCUACCGGAUCGAUGGAUGGGGUGCGCCCUACUUCUGCGUCAAUGCUUCCGGCGACAUCUCUGUCAGGCCGCACGGCGCCGCCACCCUCCCCCACCAGGAGAUCGACCUGAUGAAGGUGGUGAAGAAGGCCUCCGGCCCCAAGUCCGCCGGCGGGCUCGGUCUCCGUCUUCCACUCCUCGUCCGCUUUACUGACGUCCUCAAGCACCGGCUUGAGUCCCUGCAGCAGGCUUUCGACGUCGCCAUCCGAUCCAAUGGCUACGGCUCCCGUUACCAGGGGGUCUACCCGGUGAAGUGCAACCAGGAUCGGCACCUCGUGGAGGACAUCAUGGAGUUCGGGGCGCCAUUCGACUUCGGCCUCGAGGCCGGGUCCAAGGCCGAGCUCCUCCUCGCCAUGACCUGCCUGACGAGGGCGAGGCCCGAGGCAUUCCUCAUCUGCAACGGAUACAAAGACGAGGAGUACAUCACCCUCGCCCUCAUCGCCCGGAGCAUGGAUCUCAACACGGUGAUCGUCCUGGAGCAGGAGGAGGAGCUUGACACGGUCGUCGAGACCAGCGAGAGGCUCGGCGUCCGGCCGGUGAUUGGCCUCCGGGCCAAGCUCCGCACCAAGCAUUCCGGCCAUUUCGGAUCCACCUCCGGGGAGAAGGGCAAGUUCGGGCUGUCCACUGCACAGAUCCUCUCCGUCGCCCAGAAGCUGCAGCGCCUCGAGAUGCUCGAUUGUCUGCAACUCCUGCAUUUCCACAUCGGCUCUCAGAUCCCAUCCACAGCGCUGCUAUCCGACGGGGUCGGCGAGGCCGCCAAUAUCUACUGCGAGCUCGCAAGGCUCGGGGCGUUGAUGCGUGUGAUCGACAUCGGCGGUGGCCUCGGUAUCGACUACGAUGGCUCUCGCUCUGGUGGCUCGGACAUGUCGGUGGGCUACGGCCUCGAUGAAUACGCCAAUGCUGUGGUCCGGGCGGUUAUGCUCGCUUGUGACCGGAAGCAUGUGGGCCACCCGAUCAUUUGCAGCGAGAGCGGCCGGGCUCUCGUAUCCCACCAGUCGGUGCUCAUCUUUGAAGCGGUCUCAUCCACCAGCACUAAGUCUGAGGCAUCGUCGUCGAUCUGGCCUAACCACGCGUGCCUUCUUGAUGAGCUUGCGGAUGAUGCUCAUUCUGAUUACCACAAUUUGAUUGCCGCUUCCCUCCGCCGCGAGAACGAGACCAGCGUUCUAUAUGCUGAGAAGUUGAAGCAGAAGUGCGUCGACCAUUUCAAGGACGGCAUUCUCGGCCUCGAGCACCUGGCGGCUGUCGAUGCUGUCUGCGACCUUGUGUCGAAGGAGUUCGAUGUUGCCGAUCCGGUGAAGACAUACCAUGUCAACCUAUCGCUUUUCACCUCGAUUCCCGAUUUCUGGGCGAUCGGGCAACUCUUCCCCAUUGUUCCAAUUCAUCGUCUUGACCAGCGGCCGGUGGUCAAGGGGAUUCUGUCGGACCUAACAUGCGACAGCGACGGGAAGGUCGAUCGGUUCAUCGGGGGGCAGUCGAGCCUCCCGUUGCACGAGCUCGAGAGGGGCGGCGGGGCGGGCGGAUACUACCUGGGGAUGUUUCUGGGAGGGGCUUACCAGGAGGCGCUCGGCGGGCUGCACAACCUCUUCGGGACGCCGAGCGUUGUGCGGGUGUCGCAGGCCGACGGGCCGCGCUGCUUUGCGGUGACGCUGGCGGUGCCCGGCGCGUCGUGCACGGACGUCCUGCGAGCGAUGCAGCAUGAGCCCGAAGUGAUGUUCGAGACACUCAAGCAACGCGCGGAGUGCGCGGGCGGGGACGCCGUGUCGUGCGCCCUCGCCCUCGCCCACUCCUUCGACACCAUGCCGUACCUGGUCUUCGACGCCAACGGCGGGUACAGCGUCGUCUCCGGCGGCGACGAGGAGGGCACCGAUGGGAUGAGCAGCUACUCGGACGGGUGCGGCGAGGAGGGAGACCAGGAGUGGGAGUCCAUGCGAUGCUUGAGCGUGUGAAGGGGCGGUCAAGGUUGGCUAGCACGCUACAAGUCGGAGCGUUUCAUUGUUCUGCUGCCGUUUGUUUUAAGAUUCCAAGUCUACUUUAAUAUUCGUGUCCUCCUUUUUAUCGAAAUAGAUUUUAUCUUUCCAAGUGGUGGUUGCCAAUUCGAAUUCCGGUUACUUGGUUAUGGUUGGUUCCCCUCCGAGGGAUGAGGAUUCGAGGUGGGAAACGGCCGUUCGGAUUAACUGGGGAAUCGAUUGUCGUCAUUAUGCACCAUGCACUGUGCUAUUACUCGACCAUGUGGACCGUGAGACUGCUGGUGUGUGUCGGGGCGGUACGGGACGUCGCUGGAUGUGCGCCACGUUUUCUCCCUGAUUCUGAUCAGCGUCGGAUGCACCCCAUCUGUGUCGGGGACCGUAGCGGAUCGAAUCUGAUAUGAUGAAAGGAUCAACGGAUUGUGCAUAUUAACACUGAUGAAUUUUUUCUUCGAAUAUAUGUUUAAGAUACUAAUGUUUAUCUAACUUACUUAGAUCAUAAAAAUAGAUAACGGAGUCGCAUUCUAACUCAAAAAUUAUAGAUAGAUAGUUGGGUUUUAAAUUCGAGUAGGAAAAUUAUAUAGGUAUCAUAAUUUAAUAUCGUUCUGUUAUCAAAAAGGCAAUAAUAGCAUACCGAAAAUUUUGGGUAUCUUAAUUCAAUUAUAUUUGGUUUGAUGUAGGUUUAGAUAGAGAAACAAAAAAAAUAUUUAUACCAAAUUUGAUUUGAGUUUCAGUUCUAAUAUUUGAGGUGUUAGUUAUUGUUGGACUUUGAUUAAGUAUGAUGUAUAAGAAUCUGCCUAUAGAUCGAAGUAGUUAUCAUAUAAUAAUAAUAAUAACUAUUUAGAUUCGAUUAUAUAUAUAUAUAUAUAUAUAUAUAUAUAUAUAUAUAUAUAUAUAUAUGUAUAUAUAUAUAUANNNNNNNNNNNNNNNNNNNNNNNNNNNNNNNNNNNNNNNNNNNNNNNNNNNNNNNNNNNNNNNNNNNNNNNNNNNNNNNNNNNNNNNNNNNNNNNNNNNNAUAUAUAUACAUAUAUAUAUAUAUGUAUAUAUAUAUAUAUAUAUAUAUAUAUAUAUACAUAUAUAUAUAUAUAUAUGUAUAUACAUAUAUAUAUAUAUAUAUAUAUAUAUAUAUGUAUAUGUAUGUAUGUAUAUAUUUGAGUAUAUUUAAGUGAUCAAUGGUUAAAACUAGGGUUGCUAAAAUGAACCUUGACAUUUUAAAAACUAUUCUUUAUCAUAACUAUACAAGAAGGGAUCAACUAAUUAGGUUCCUAUAUCUGUUAUAUCGAUCAAAAUAAUAUAAAUAUCUUUCUAAAAGUGAACCUAGAAUUUUAAAAAUGAUUGAAUUUAGGAUUAGGGUUAGAAUUAGAAUUUGGAUUUGUAAACCUUGUUUUAAAUCCUUUACUUUUGAGUUUGAUGUUUUUACUCCUUAGAUUAAGUUAUGACCUUAGUUCUAGUUAGAGUUUCUAUAAUUUUGAAAAUGACUUUGAGAUUUAAUCGUAAUGACUUUAGCUCAAGUUUGAUGUUCUUGAGUUUUUCUUUAUCGAUAUUAAUUUUUUUGUUUUAAUAGUUUGGAUAACAGAUCUAAGAGUUUUAGUGGUCUCAAGAUGUCUCAAUUUAUUGACCAAAGUUUAAUAAUGAGGAAGGACUAUCUAUCUAAUAAGCAAGAGAUCUAAUAUAAUUCAAAAGAGAUAAUUAUAAUUUUAUGAAUUUUAUAGUUCAAGUUUUAAAAUGUAUGAAUUUGAUCAUUGAUAGGUAAAUGAUCUUUUUUAUAAAAAAAUUUCAACAUUAACAUAUUUAGAAGGCUUCAAAAGGAAAGUAAUAUUUCUAGCUUAGUGUUAUCAACUAGACUUUUAAUUGUUCACUCCACCUCGCAAGCCCAACCCCAUUAUAUUUCUUAAGUUAAAAGGGACAUGGAAUCAUAUAAUUCGAAAAUUUAUGAUUGAGAUUAGGGGAAUAAAAAUAUACAAUAUCUGUAAUUUUUAUUUAAUGGAGUAGAAAAAUAAAUUGAGUAGAAUUUUUAUUUCUUCCGUUAAGGUAUUUAUUAUGAUUUUCGUUUAGGACGAAUCGGUCUUAUAAAUAAUUUUAAUAAUAAUCUAAUAUAAUAUAAAUGUAAUAUAAUUAUAUCACACUUAACAAAUACUAUUUAUUGAAUUAUAUGAAAUAAAAUUAAAUAACAAUUUAAUAAAAUUUUAUGAGCAAUUGGUUUCGAAUGUAAAAAUAAGGUUCCUGAGAGUCUGAAUUUUAAUAUGUGAUAAGUUUGAAUUUAUGAUAAAACAAAACAAAGUUGCAAAACAAAAUGAAUCAUGCAACUGCAAAAUUUGAAAAACUUAUACACUGUUAAGACAAGUUUAUGUUUCAAAAUAAAUCAAAUGUAACUUUUGUUUCCUAGAUAGUAAUAUUUAAACAAUAUUACUAAAACAUUCAUGAGUUCAAAAUCUUAAAAUGAAUAAUUUUAAAUCUUUAAAUUGAAUAGAUUUUUGGAUUCUGUAAGACUUUUACUCUUACAACUACCCAAAUAAUCUUUAAUUUGGAUUCUGUAAAACUCUUACAACAUUGUCUUUCUCUUUCAACAGAAUUUAAAACUUUAUUUUUAUUCAACCCUUUUUUUGUUUUUAACAGAAUCUAAGUUCCUUUUAUAUAAUAAUAAUAAUAAUAAUAAUAAUAAACAAACUUAUCAGACAAAAUAAAUAAUUUCAUAAUUAUUUAAUAUAUUUUAAAACAAAUCAAAUAUGUGUCAUGCUUAAAUCUGACUUGAUUAACCACCACACUAAUGAUUGCACAAAAUGGACCGCACAUUAAGGAAUUCUCCUGUGCCAACUUAACCAAUAGCAUGACAUCUGGCACUCUUGACUAAAAUAGACCCAAAUGAGGACGUUGAUUUUGACUUAUGGACGAAGUCUUAGAGAGGCUGAUUUGACCAAUUCUAGGAGGCCCUCCAAAAUGACUUACAACUGAAGCGAUCCUAUACAAGUCUUCGAUUCUAAAGUGGAUGGUGGAUUUUGAUAUAAAUGAAAUGAUAAUAACAAGUGAAACUUUUAGGACGGCAUUAGAAAUCAAACGAUCGUAUGAUCCUUUUAUUCUUCUUCUAAUUAUUGUACCGUCUUUGUUAUGAUAUCUUAGCGAAACAUUAGUUAUUAUACAGUUGAUAAUAAUAUUUUGUUUAUCAUUAAUGUAAUGAUUACACUUUUUUAUAUAUAAAAAUAUAUCUUGUAAAUAAACAUAUUGUUUUAUCGAUAUUUAUUUUCUCCUUUUUUCCAGUCCAAAAGUAUUAUUUUCUAAAUGAACUACCAAGUUUAGUGAUGCGGGCACAAUCAAACAUUUUAGUGAUGUUUAUUUAAUGUUAUAUUUUUAUUUAAUAUUUAUUAUCGUGACAAAUAAAGGUUGUCUUAAAUAUUUAUUAAACACUUGUUAAUUUUAUUUUAUUAGACAUUAAUUUGCAUUGGAUUCCGAUUAAAUCUGAAUUAAACUUCAGGUUUCCCGUCCUGAUCACUGUCUUGGACCGUUCGAUUCGAGCACACGAAUCUUCGCCGUCCAAUCUAACCGGAUGUUUUAUUAAUUAAGGAAGCUGACAGCUCACCUAUCCUCGUUCGAACAUUGUCACCAACCGGAAGAAAGCACACGGAUCGUGUGCUUGCUAAAACGCAUCUGCAGCCGUCAGAUACACAUCCUCUCGCUCGCCCGCCUCGUCGCAUCUCCCUAUAAAUAAAUCGUUCGUUUCCUUUUACUUACGUUACGAGUCGGCUUUCUCUUCUGUUCCAUCCUCGGUCCGUGACCUGAGAUCGGCGAACCCUAGCUUGUGUUGUUCCUGGUGAUCGAUGGCCCGUACGAAGCAGACCGCUCGCAAGUCCACCGGUGGCAAAGCGCCCCGGAAGCAGCUCGCCACCAAGGUAUGCGUCCCGUCUUCCCGUUUCGUUUGGGUUACCCGUUUCGGUUUGCAGAGAUCUAUCCGGCUUACCUGUUUUGUUUGGGUUCCGUGUGUAUAGGCCGCGAGGAAGUCGGCGCCGACGACCGGCGGUGUGAAGAAGCCCCACAGGUACCGCCCGGGGACGGUGGCUCUACGUGAGAUCCGCAAGUACCAGAAGAGCACGGAACUGCUGAUCCGGAAGCUGCCUUUCCAGCGGCUGGUGCGUGAGAUCGCGCAGGAUUUCAAGACCGACCUUCGGUUCCAGAGCCACGCUGUGUUGGCGCUGCAGGAGGCGGCGGAGGCGUAUCUGGUAGGGCUCUUUGAGGACACCAACCUCUGCGCCAUCCACGCCAAGCGGGUUACCAUCAUGCCCAAGGACAUCCAACUCGCCCGCCGUAUCCGUGGUGAACGUGCUUAAGACCUCGAUGGAUGAUAGCUUAGCCCUCCUUUUCUCGUCGAUGGAUUGAUCCUCUUAGGAAAAUAACUAAAUAGAUAUAUUUCUGAUCGUGUUCUGUGGACCUUUAUAUAUGAUAGCUAAUCUAAUUGUAAAUUACUGGAAACUACAUGCAAUUAUUGGUGUGGGUUAAUAUUUCAUUUAUCUUUGUUCGUUCAGAUUUUGGUCAUGCUCAUAAUAUAGGUCGUCAUUUCCAAGAUGAUUUGUGCGAUAAUUCUUGGCAUUUUAUGGUGAAUAAACCCUUCUGCAACCCCCUCCUUGUUCCAUGCGUUGACCUCUCAUAACGGACCGAUCUAGCGGUGUCUUUCGAUAGAUUGUCGAUUUGGAAUUGGAGCAUGCGGAUUCAAUGGAAAAAUAGUCCUUGUAAUCUUGCAAUCGCGUCUAUUGGAAGAGCAACAAAUGCCCUUGUAAAUUCCAAAAGUUCUUUGAUCAGUCGAAGAGCAGGUUUGAAAUUUCGCAUUCGACGUGCUAUCAGCCGUAUGCUAUCAUUAUUGGCGUAUAGAAUUGGCUAUAUAAGAAUGAUGUAAAUGAACAAAGCAGUCAAAAUUUUGGGGGCGGAGAAUGAUUCUCCGACAAAGUUUAUUCCGGAAAAUAAUAACUGGAUAAAUAGCGAUUUACAUAAAAUGACAAUUGCAUCGUUGUAGUUUCUACCGUCAAUAAAUGCACUCUCUUUGAAAUUAAAAGUAGGCAUUGUAAUGUGUCUCAACAUAACACUACGUUCGGUCCAUGCUGGCUAAGCUGCAUGUACUUGGAAUACUGUUCAUAUCAUGAUAGGACAAUUUAUUUCUAUGCUCUGACAGGGAACCCGUUUGGCAAUGCCAAAGAAACAAAAAAUGAUAUCCAUUGUUUGGUAAGCAAACAAAAAAAAGAAAAAUAAAUUUGGGGGUACUCACCAAAGAUAACAUUAUUAUGAAUAUGCAUUAAUAGAUGCCGAGAAGGAAACAUCAAAAUUUGGUAGAAUAGGCAUUGCAAAGUUGUGAAGGAAACAUCAUUCCUCAGUCCGGGAGAUUUCAUAAUCAGGUCAUCACCAUUUUUGUAGGAUAUGCUUGGGGUAGAAGCUAAUCUUCUAAACGUUGUCUUACAUCUGCAAUUUUGUUAAUGGAGCAAGAAGAUAUCUGCAUUUAUAAUUAUUACUUACAUCUAAGGCAGGAGAUGAUGGGUAGUGCUUUAAAAAAAAGGGAGGAGAGGGUAUCAAAUGAUUUAACCUUGCUAGCUUCAAUUGCCUUUUCCUAUUGUUGAGACAAUUUUCAAUUCUUUAACUAUGUGUGAUAAAUCCACUAUCAUAUAAUUCAUCUUUAUCAUGAACCCAUUUUAAGGCACAAUUUGAUACUAAGACAUUACUAGCAAGAGUCAAUAUCUUCAUUUGCCAAUAUCCAAUAAAUUUAAAUAGGAAAAAAAAUAAUUUAAAAAUAUGAGUAUUUGAUCUAAAGAAAUUUUUUAUCAAUUAUUUACUAACAUUUAAUGUAACACUUUGAUUAAUCCUAUAUCAAAAAUGGAUAUAUUAUUAUUAAUUUUAACUUAAAUAUUUUAAUCAGUGACUUAGAUUUAACAAAAUUGAUAGACCAAUUAAUACAUGCACUAUCCCUUUGUCUUGACCACUAAUGAUAGAUAUCUAAUAGCCUAUAUAAAGCAGCUAACACUAAAAACAUAUUUUUAGUUUUAUGACUUCACAUGGAUAUUUAUGACAAAGAAAACAUUCAUUAUUUACUAUUUUUGUUUGAGGAAUAUAUAUGUAAAACAAAAUCCUAAUUCUAUAGAGUACUACUCAGCUCUGAGCUAAAAGCCUAGCCCAAAAUAAUAAAAUAAUUAUACACCAAUUCUUGCAAAAGAUAUCCAAUUUUACAUAUGAUCAACGACAAACAAUCAGUAAAGACCCCAUAAUUAUGUUAGAAUGAUGCUUUUGGUUUGCACCUUAACUUUCACAUUGAGUAUAUCUCUAAGGGGACAUGUUUCUUUGUCAACACAAGUGUUAGUGGAGGUUUAUUUGGCCAUGGUUGUCCUCAUAGAAACCUGCAGAAUUGUUGAUCAAGACCAUCCUUUUUUAACAAAAUAUUAGCAUAUAGACUUGAACAUGUGCUUCUUCAAUUCAAGGUGGAGAAGAAGCCUUGCAAAGACUGUAAACAAGAAAACUAACAUACCAACUAGUACUUUAUCG